CAAGACACUGAGACCCAAAGGAAGACUACCGACAAGCUCGGCAACUUCAAAUGCUAGUUCCUUAAAAUCAUCAGGUGGAGAGUCUUUCCCAAAAGCAUAUUGGGAUAUCAUCUUAAGAGCAAGACCUUGAGAUGGCAGCUCCACCUCAUAUACAAGGUCAAUCUCAUGAGCCUUGAGAAGUUGCUUAUCUUGAGUGAUCACAAUUAUUCUGCUUCCAGAACCAAACCAUUCAGCUUUUCCCACCAAGGUCUUAAGAAACUCUAGAUUAUCCACAUCAUCAAGAAGGAUAAGAACUUUCUUGUGCUUUAACCUUUGCUCCACCACACCAAAAUGAUCUAUCUUUAUGUCCUUUUGACCUAAGAUUUCCGAGAGAAGUUCUUUUUCCCAACUCAACUUCAUGCCAGAGACGUCACUACCACUGGUGCUUUUAUAAGUUAUGAAAGCGCGAUGGUGGAACUGGCUAGAGAGUUGACUGAAAAGAGCUCUUCCUAUGGUACUCUUACCAAUCCCUGACUGUCCCCAAAUCCCGACCAUUAUUCUAGCUUCCUUGGAUUCCAAGCAAAGUAUUGAUUUUAUUGCCUUUAUAUGAUCUUCAAUUCCGACGAAGUCACCAAAACCCUUUGGCAGAGGAAAAAGUUUAUUCGAAACAUCAUUGGCUAUCUUUUUAACCAUAAACGCUUCAGUAGGCCUAAUAACAAUAGUCAAUUGUGUCAAUAGAGAGGCACCCUUAAAAGCACAAUCGAAGAUUCGAAGUCAACGCAAGAAAAAAAAACCCAGUCUUAUAUAAUAAAGUAAGGUUUUCUCGAAGUCAUGCUCUGAGAAUUUGAUAAGUCGCACUCUAUUCUUUCGAUAUGUGUAAUUUUUUUAAUUUUUAUUGCUUCCAAAACUGAAAUAUACCAUAAUCAUUUUGCAUUAAAUUUAAUUAUAAAAUAUUUUGUUUUUGAAAAAAUAUAAGUAAGAAAUUUUAAAUUUAUUUCUAAAUUAAUUUUGUUUUACUUUCAAUCAUUAAAAGCAAAUAUCAAAGAUUAUUUUCAUGAUAUAUAACAUAUUUUCCUACAGUUUAUUCAAAAAAUGAAUUUAGCAUAAACAAUGAAUAAAUAAUUUAUUCUAAUUUUCAAAACAAUGAAAAUAGAAUAAAUAUUAAUUCUAAUUUUAUUAUUUGAUGAUGUAUCAUUUAUCAAUAUAUAAAUAAUACAGAUGCAUUAAAAUAUGAUUUGUCUUUUUAUUUUCUCUCAUUUUAUAAUAUAAUAUUUACACAUGCUUUUAUUAAAUUAUUUACUAUAAAUAUUAUCAUACCUAUCUUACUUUGGGAUUGUCUUUUAAUAAUUUUUAAUAUUUAAAUAUUUAAAUAAUAGAAUUGCUUUUAAAAAUAUGAUUUCAUAAGAAAAUAAAUUUGAAAUAAAUGUAAAACUAACCUCAUUAAAAAAGACUCAAAUGACUAAAAUCAAUGAAAUGUAAAGUAAACACCAAUGAGAAAAAGAAAAUUAGGGUGAUUGAGUGUCUCAUGUAACGUUUUAAAAAAAAAAAAAUUGUUACUCAUGUAACGUUUGUGUUGCAAACGUUUUUGAACCAAUUAUUAACAUUUAUGCUGGAAAUAAACACAUGAAUUAGUUAUACCCUAAAUAUCUACUUUUCUGAUAUAAAUAGCAAAUAUAUAUACUAUUUUUUAUCACACACAAGUAUUUUUAUUUCCUUUAACAAUUGACGAAAAAUGGAAGAUGGCUUGCGGUAUUAACAACGUUUACGGCAAGAGUCCCUGUCUUUCAAUUUCUCUCCUUCAUUUAAGGUUUGGACUCGUAUUAGCUCUCAGAUUUCGUUUUCUUUUUAAGUUUUUGUGAAUGAUUUCAUAUUGUUUAAUGUUUCUAAAAUGGUUAUAUUGAAUCUUACUUACAUGUGUUUUUUUCCUGUUUUUUUUUGUUCUGAAUUUAAUUCAAGAUAUUUUUGCAUCUUUUAGAAAAAGUUUUUUUUUUUGUUUUGUAGGCAUCAAAUGCACUUUAAACCAUUUAAAUGGAUAUAAGAUAAGAAGCUAGCAGACUAUGGAUAGCAUAGUCAAUUGCAAGAGAAAGUAAGGAUCAAGGUUUUGAUCAUUCAUAAAAUACAAAAUUUGAUGCAAGUGAUUUAGUUAAUCUCGAUUAAUGGUGGAGCGAUAACAAUAGGUAUGACCAUACUAAUUAUAUAACUAUUUAUUUCUCUUUCCAACUUAAAUAUUUCGAGUUAAAUUUUAGUAUAAUAUUUUUUAUUUUUGUUAAUAAAAUUAAAUUCUAAUUAUAUGUAGUUUCUGUUUAUAAUGUUUUGAAUUUUAAAAUGAGAAUUAUAAUUUGUUCACCCAAUAUUUCUAUAAAUAGUUACCAAAUUUUGUUGACAUAUAUGUUCUUUAAAACAACAUUUCAGUAAUUUUGUUCAAUCUCAUCUUACUCUACAUCAAUUUGCGUUGGCAUCCAAAUUGACAAAAAAAAAAACUUAAAAUUGUGUUCAUUUUUUAGCAUAAGGAAGCUCAAUUCUCAGCCUCUAAAGAAAACAUGAUCAACAUUAGUUCACUCAUAUGAGGAAAAUUGUUUAAUCUUUUUCUAUCAUUACUUAUAUUUAAUGACUUUUCCAAUAAUUGUUUUCAAACCUAUAAGUCAAAAUAUUGAAAGACUCAUAAUACAAAUAACAAAAAUCUAUGCCUAUAAUACACAUUAAAAGUUAUAUUUAGGACCAAAUAAUUCAUAAUAAAAGACUCUAUUAUAUAUAAUGAAGCAAAACAAAAUUAAAUUCUUUUAUAUGAGUGACAUAUUGAAAUGAUUUAGGAUUUUUAUUUUUCAAGUUUAUCUUUUCUUAAAUUUUAAGAUUUUUUAUAUGAGAGUAUUUGAGAAGCCAUCAUGUGCGACCUUUUAUCUAUAUCCUUAAUUAUAUUUGAAAUUUAGGUUUAAUUAUAUAUUAUAUCAAGACAAAAUAAAAUGUGUCUUACGAAAUAUGAGACAAAAUGUUUUAUAUAUUUUGGGUAAACUGUUAAUUUCAGUAAAGCAAGAUUUAUAAAAAGGAUAAUGAUGUUUAAAAAAAUAACUUUUUAUACAAUAGCGCAUUAGAUCAAUGUCGAGUGGUGUGCUUGAAAUACGGUUUAUUAUACCUAGGACGAAUUUGUUGAGUCUCUUAAAAAGGGCAUUGGUUUGUUUGUAAAGAAAGUGUAAUAGCUUGAUAAAAUCUUGCAUUUCUCUCAAACAAUAGAUGAUGAUGAUGAUGUGAAACAAUGAAAGUGUGUAAUUUAGAAGUUAGGAGAUCAUUUUAGUUUUUUCAAUAACAUAAAGGUCGUCAGUUGAUUUUGAAAAUCAGGACUUACCAAUAUAUCAAUUUUGUCGAUUAAAAAACCAAAUCUUGAGUAGAUAUUAUUUAUUGUGAAAGUAAAAAUGUAAUAUGUCAUAUUGACAUGCUAAUUGAAACUUUAAUUAUAUAUUUAUUAAUAAAUUAUUUUACACCACAUGAAUUCAUAUAAAUUAUAACAAAAGAAAAACAAAUUUAAUGAGUUCAAAAUCAACAAAACAUAUAACACUUAUUUCAAGCUACCCAUAUUGUAGAUGCUAAUAUAAUUAUAUUCCAUAAUGAAAUUGAAAUUUUUAUUCAAAACAAAAUUAAUUUGCUCUCUUUAACUGAGAGUAAUUCCAAAUAUUUUUUGAAAGCUUUAUAAACAACUAAUUUAUGUAAUAUGAUAUACACAAUAAAAAAUUUGUUUUUAAAUAGCUAAAAAUAUUUCAUUAUGUAAAUUUUAAAAUUAUUUCAUAUUUUAUAUUAAUUUUAAACCCACGCACAUUUUCUAGUUUUGCAAUAAUUAUAAACACUCAUAGAAAUAGUGGAAUAAAUAAAACAUACCCGUUCCGAAGAUCCUCCCCGGCUAAAUUUGAUAUAUCUGUGAGAGCUUUAACCCAUCUUUGUUUCUGAUCCUCUGGUUUGUCCUCGCAUGUCUUUUUAAAGACAUCGCCAAAGCCACCGAUCUGUUUUCUAACAUGAGAAGGAUCAACGCCGUAGAAAACCGGAAUCACCAUUUGUUCCCCUUUCUUGUAACACUUGUGGAUCUCCACCAAUUCAUUCAAGCACCACGUUGAAGAAGCAUAGUUCUCAGAGAAGAUGACUAUUGAGAUCCUCGCUUCUCUAAUGGCCGUUAUAAGCGCAUCGGCGAUUAUGCAGCUUCUCACGAUGCCGUGAUCCAUGAAUGUAUUGAUUGAUCUGCGGUCGAGCGCCUCGAUUAGAUGGCUGAGGAACGUUUUGCGAACAUCUACCCCACUGAAGCUUGGGAAAACGUCGUAUCUCCGGCUACUAGGAGAAGAAGAAGAAGAAGCCAUGGGAGACGAUAGAGGGAACUCAGAGAAGAGACGAAGAUUUUUAAGAGAAGUAAAUCAGCAAGACAUAGUGUGAGAAAGAGAGGAGAAACUUCGUCUUCCUUCCCUCCAAGACUUGCAUAGAAGACUUACUGUACAAGAUAUUCUUUUAAGUGGCUAAAAUCAAAUCUCCUAACAAGACAAUUGAGACGUAAAUAAUAAAGAAACUCGGCCCUUCCUUUCCUCGAAAGCUUUUUUACACUACAUACAAAGAUAUUUUUGAAGAUUGAAUUUUUGUGGUUGUCACUGAAUUAUGAUAAGUCUUAGUCUUUGUACAAGACAGAAAUAAUAUUUCAAUUUCUAGGCAAGUAGACAGAAACUUACAUUCGUUUCCUCUACAAAGAUAUUUUGAAAACACAAAUUUUGUGGUUAUCAGUUGUCCUUGUAUAUAAUGAAAGAAUAUGCGGAAUUGUAGCAAAGAGUAAGAGAAUUAUGAAGAACAAGAGAGUUGGUAUAUGAGUGAGAAUGACCAAAUCAUAUUGAUAGAAUUAGUUAGUAACCUUUGUGUGUUUACAAUGUAUUUAAAGACACACAAAGGGAAUAUGACCGUUUACAAUUAACGUAAGACUGAAAGAGACAUGAGAGAAGAGGUUCCUUGGUCUUGAUGGUGAGAGCGACUGGUCCUUGGUUGACCAUGUCGCUAAAGACACUCGUGAGUCCUCUUCAACGGCUACAAGAGAUAUUUGUGCGCCUUCACUCUUUCUAGAAGCUCUCCAUAGACUUCUCAUGUGUUCGGCCCAACUCCUUGUAGCACAUACCCAAUACUAGGCCUUUCUCCUUAUUUGUACGGAUGAAUCUCUUAUUGAAUCUUGAUCAAUAUAUAAUAUACGUAUGAAUUACCUGGACGCCUUCCCAUAGCUUCUCAAGCUUGUUGUUACAUCUCACUGUGAGGUCUUUGAGAUGUUCUGGGCGAAAUUUACUUGGAUUACAUCUCCUAAGGCAAUCAAGAUAACCGAGUCCAGGGAGAUUCUUGUUCCAUAAACAAUCUGCUACCUCGAUGUCAAUUUCUCCUCUGAAACUGUGCAUAAUAAUCUCAGGGAAAUUUCUCAACUUGGGGCAUCGUAGGAGAUUGAGGUACUCAAGAGAUUCCGAGUUGAGAGGAGUUGGAAAACUUUCUAGCACUUCGCAUUUACAAAGAUCUAGUCUCUCGAGGUUUGUGGCUAAAGAAAGAUCUGGAAUUUCUUUCAAAUAUUUGGAAUUACGCAGAAUCAUCUUCUUUAGGCUUCCAAGUAACUGAAAACAAGGAAAGAGAGAAUAACAGACGUUCGUAAACAUUUCAAAAAAUUCAUUUAAUUUUUUGAACAAAUAAAUCAAUAAACAUAACACAUUUCUGUUUUCAAAUUGACAACAAAAACAAUAAAAAAUUAGUACCUGAGUUCCAUUCCACAGCUUCUCAAGGUCACUAUCCUCCAUUAUGAGUUCAACCAGAUACUCAGCCUUAAAAUUAGAAGGCAAACGCUUCAAUGGACAAUAACGCCACCAUAGGCAUAUGAUGUUACUUGAAAUCUGAGGGAAAAAUCUCAAACUUGAGCUUCCAUCACUAUAAUCCUGAGAUGGAGACACAUUCAAGAGAUAUUUUUGAAGAUUGAAUUUUUGUGGUUGUCACUGAAUUAUGAUAAGUCUUUGUACAAGACAGAAAUAAUAUUUCAAGUUCUAGGCAAUUAGACAGAAACUUACGUUAUUCGUUUCCUCUACACAGAUAUUUUGAAACACACAAAUUUUGUGGUUGUCAGUUGUCCUUGUACAAGACAGUUUAUCGUAAGAAUGUACUUAUGAUUGUUUAAUAUCAAAGUCUUGUUUCCCAAUACAUACAUGCACAUGGAUUAGGAGAAUAAGUAUAUCGAUUAUGAGGAUUUUAAUUCAAAUAAUACAGUGAAAAUACUAAUUAACACUAACUCUCUAGUUUGCUAAAUUACUCUUUUAGUUUUCAAUAAUUGUAUUAUUAGUUUAAAGUUUGGCUUACUGCGUCAGCAACCACUGUAGGCUGCGAUUGCAUUUGCUGUAUUGUUUAAGGAGCAUUUGGUUUCUAAGGGUUUCAUGUACUGGAUGGAAGAACUCGUGUCUGAGAACAUCCUCUGCGCUGGUUCGUUGCCUCGGGUUAACGGUCAAACAUCUAUCCACGAAGUCAAGGAGCGGCCGUGGGAUUGCGUCUAGAAACUCUCUGCGUUUGUGUUGAGUUCACACCAUUUUCUCAACUCCAGCCCCUUCAACGUACAAUUCUUGAAACAACAACACAAAAAUCUAUGUGCAUUCAAUUCAUCUCUCACGAUCAUCUAUCAAAUCACUUUAUCAGUAAUUUACAUUUUAAAGUUAUAUCAUGUUCUGGACUAACAAUGAAAACCAUUUUAUUUGAAUCCAUAUGCUGGCGGCAAAGAAGAACAGAGCAUUUGUAUUAUGUCACACAAAUUCAGCAAUCAAGUGAAUGGAGAGUUUAUAAGGGAGGUAAGAUGAGAUUUUACCUCAGGCAAAGAGGUUUCACUAUUGUGCAGCUUGGCUACUUCCCAUAAGUCUUCACUGCUUCGUAGUUACUCAAUGUCCUUCACGUUCCUAGGAAUCACAAGGUCGUUGUAAGACGGCAAGAAAGAAAAAAGAGUGGAAUCGACUGAUGGUGUAUUAUGUUUUUAUUAUUAUUAUUAGGUCAUUGGUGCAAUAUCUGAAGCAAACCUGCACAAACCAAUUCAGCUAAAAGAAGCACCAGAGAAAUUAGCUUUCACAUCCUAAAUGUGACAAUGACUAGCUCACUUGAGCUCAGGGUCGUGGUGGAGGUCGGUGAGUGGGACGGGUGGAAGCUGGUUUGUAUGUAUGGGGCUGUGGUGGUGGUGCGUUAUGUUUUAAUCACUGUUUUUUUACUGUGAGUGUAGGAAACGCCACGGUAGCAGUGAUGCAAUUGUUGCUGAUGAGGUUGCUAUUUAAAAAUUUAGUUCCAACACUUUUUUGCUGUUGAUAAUUCUCUUGUGAAAUACAUUUUUCUUUACCAAAUUUAUUCAUUGAUUUAAAGAGAGAAAAAUAACCUUUGGUAACAUACACGUAGAGAGAUAUGUGUGUUUCAAAAGACAAGUGUGGAGAAAGUUUGAACCUUUAACUUGUUUCUUGCGGAAUCUCUCACUAUCACUCAAAGAAAUUUGGAUCUCUCGUGUGUUGACUUAGAAAAACGAAUGAAGAAGAAAUAGAAAGAGCACACACACACCAUUUAACGAGUUCACGUUUCCAAACCGGAAACGCUACAUCUCGCCGAGAUUGUACUCGGAAAUCCACUAGAAAGCUUGGUUUCGGUUACAUAAACCCUAGAGGCGAACUGGACACUCCCAGCCGCCUCACCUAAACCCCCAUCUAGCUCUCUUCUUGUUGUCUUUUAGGGUUCAGCUUGCCUCCUCUUUUAUAUGCAGGGUUCUCCUCUUUUUCUUCACCCUCGCAUGCUCUGUUUUCCCGUACAGGGGAAGAAGACAAACAAAGCUUAUGACUGAAGCAGAAGUUAAUUACUCUUCUGUCCCUUGUCUAUUUAUGAGAAACACAACAGCUGUUUCUAGUGUGUUCUCAACUUCCCUUAGGUGAAACCUUCUUUGUAGACUAGAGUCUUUGGAAGCUUCUCUUCCCUGUAGAGUAUCUUAACACUUAAGGCAAAACUCAACAACAAGACUGUUAAAUUUACAUCUUUUCAGGAAAGCGAAUUUUUCAAAGAAGCAAAACAGAGAGAAGUAAGAACAGAGUGGUUCUGCUGUUCUGGACAUGGAACCAUAAAAUUUUUCUAGUUGUCAGUACUCCAUCAUCUGCAGGAGAAAAUGGCUUGUGUGAAAAACUAAGAAAUAGUCUUGUCAUUACCAGUAUAGUCAUGGUCGAUCCCACGUUCAUUACAAAACAGAGUUGUAAUACGUUUCAGGUUGCCUUAACAAUGUGAUAAGCUGUGGAGACGGCUAAGGAUCCAGGAAAGGAAUGUUAACAAUGUGAGUUCAGUCAAGGCAGAUCUUUAACUGUUCAGGGUCAGCAGUGAAAGGUGUCGUCCCCAUCAGACCACACGUCUAUGUUAGGCCCUUGAUGCAAAGAUCUGAAGCAAAUCAAUUCAGUCAAGAACAGCCCCAGAGAAUUAGCUUUCCAUCCUAGAUGUUCUAGUGAGUAGUUCAGGCCUACAACUUUAACUCUUUACGAUACAAUUAAAGAGUGCAGCGGCAUGGGGGAACAGCAGCGACAUGUAUUCUCAUCGACGUAGGAUAGCUGGAUGAUACUUCAUGGUUUGGAAGUGGACCAGACAAUGUCUCCUGUAGAAAGUUUAAAAGCUCUUUCCUUCACCCGAAGGAUUGUUCCUUAUGCUGGUUACAUCUUUGGCCGAAGUUAGGCCAAAAACGCUUCUGCCUUUUGGCUAUUGAAUCAGCGGAUAUGCAAAUGUUGCUGAUUCUUGUUGUUUUCUGUACCCAAAGUCUGAUUUAUUCAUUGCUAAUAAAGAGAAAAACAACCUUUACUAACAUAAACCUUGACAUCUAUGUUUUAAAAAAGGCAAGACUAUUUUGGGUAGUACCUGAGUUCAAGUAGGUACGCUCCCAAAUUCAAUGUGGAAAUAGAUAGAUGUAUGGUACAAUACAAAACCAUGCGAAAGAUGUUUUUCCAGAAUAUGCUAAAGUGUGGCUUUCUGAAACAUUUAUUCUUUCAGGAAAAGCGAAAUGUUCAAAACAAACGCAGAGUUGGAUAAUGUAAUUAAUUAUCAUUAUCAUUAUCAUUAUAGUCAUAGUCGAUCCCAAGUUAUCCUAAAACAGAGCAAAACAGAAUGAUAAGAUGUUUCAGUUACCAGAAACAGGAAACAAGAUAGGAAUUCCUUUAUCUUGUUCUUCAGUUAUCAUGUAAUCAACACACAAAGCUUCCCCCUCUAGAGAUGUUGAUGAUGAUGGUUCUCCCUGCCCUAACGAAAGCUCCAUAUUUAGAGCGGCCAAUCCUGUGUCCGCUACAAUUAGGCCAUAGGGUAAGUUGAUAUCUUCUUCAGAUGUCCCCGAUGUCAUCUGCAUUAUAAAUCAAACGAUAGAUUCUAUUAAAUAGUCUGUCCCUAUGGUAUUUCGAUCCUGGAAAAUCAAAUCAAAAGUCAAAAGAUACCCGCAUCCGCUUCUCGCUUCUCGUAGUCUGUUGGUUGUUCUCUUCUUGAGAGACAUACAUGAGUCGUACACCGCAUUCUUUGAUCCUAUUGGAGCAACAAAACUUAAACUCCACAUCGUUGAAAUUCAAUUUAGAUGGAAGAUCUUCAGACCGGAACUUGAAGGAACAGAAAAACAGAUGAUCCGUCUUACAAAGCUCCAGUUCUGCAUCUUUAGAAAAUGAUUUCUGAUACUGUUUGCCAUUGAAGCCAACGUUUACCUUCAAGAAUGGAUAAAAACCCUUGCCCUUGGAGAGAGGUUCAACCACGACGCAAGCCUUAAAUCGCAAGAAAUUUUGAGAAAGAGAGCUCUGAGGUACAAUGACAGUUAGGGAAUCUCCAUAAGCUCGAUACGUGAAAUACUUAGGGAUUUCUUCACCUGGUAAGGCCACAGGCUUGAAGCAUGAUCGUAGGAUGAGCUCUCGCGCAUCUCUAUCCAAUUUGAAGCAAUUACGGAAGCUAAAAUGUUCCUGGAGGUAUGCAACACGAUACAACUUAUCCCAGAUAUAUUCAAUGUUUUCAGAUAAUGGUACACAAGAAACGUGGUCUUCCAUUGUCGCUACCACAGUUGCAUCACUCAACGCCUUGAUGACACCUCUACAGUCUGUAAAGUCGGCGAGCUCAAGUCUUGUAAGUCUGAAAAUGUUUGGGGAGAUGGUUUUCAACCUCUGGCAACAAUACAUCAUAAGUACAGUGAGCCUCGUGAAAUCCUCAAUGCAGCAGGGAACUUCUUCAAUGGCGGUGUUUUGCAGAUAGAGACAUUCGAUUCUAGUUGAAAUCAGAGGAAAAGUUCUCAGACUUGAGCAACCACUGAGAUCGAGGAUCAUAAGAGAUGACAAGUUGACAUCGGUCGGAAGAACCUCCAGCCCUGUGCAUUCUUUCAUUUCUAACUUCACCAAUCUAUGAAGAUUCCCAAUUGUAGAAGGGAUUUCUUCAAUGGCGGUGUUUUCCAGAUAGAGCCAUACAAUAUUAGUUGAAAUCAGAGGAAAAGUUCUCAGACUUGAGCAACCACUGAGAUCGAGGAUCAUAAGAGAUGACAAGUUGACAUCGAUCGGAAGAACCUCCAGCCCUGUGCAUUCUUUCAUUUCAAAGCUCACCAAUUUUUGGAGAUUUCCUAUAGUAGUAGGAAGUGUCACCAAACUUUUGCAAUUGUUGAGUUUCAAAUUCUUCAGAUUAGUGGCCUUUGAAAGAUCUGGAAUUUCUUCAAUGGCGGUGUUUUCCAGAUAGAGCCAUUUGAUACUCUCUGAAAUCAGAGGAAAACUUCUCAAACUUGAGCAACCACUGAGAUCGAGGGUUUCGAGAGAUGACAAGUUGACAUCGGUCGGAAGAACCUCCAGCCCUGUGCAUUUUUUCAUUUCUAACCUCACCAAUCUAUGAAGAUUCCCAAUUGUAGAAGGAAUUUCUUCAAUGGCGGUGUUUUCCAGAUAGAGCCAUACAAUAUUAGUUGAAAUCAGAGGAAAACUUCUCAAACUUGAGCAACCACUGAGAUCGAGGGUUUCGAGAGAUGACAAGUUGACAUCGGUCGGAAGAACCUCCAGCCCUGUGCAUUCUUUCAUUUCCAACCUCACCAAUCUAUGAAGAUUCCCAAUUGUAGAAGGAAGUGUCACCAAACUUUUGCAGUUGUUGAGUAUCAAAGACUCGAGCUUGGUGGCCUUUGAAAGAUCUGGAAUUUCUGUCAGGUUUUCAGAUUCUGACAGAUCCAUCCCUUCGAGACUUCCAAGCGACUGAAAAAAACAUUGGUAUGCUUCAAUCAUUAUCGAUGAUAAUCAUUUUAAUUUUAUACUGUAUAUGUUUAAAAUUAUAAUUAAACAUUAUUAUAAGACAUAACCGUGGUAAGACAUAACCGUGGAUCACAAGCCAUAAUAACAAAUUUGGGUAUAGUUAAUUAGUUAUAUAACAGAAGGUAAACAAAAAUCAGCAUAGCAUUAACAAUGUACCUGGAUGCCUUCCCAUAGCUUCUCAUGCUUGUAGCCCCUCACAUUGAGAAAAGCGAGUUGUUCUGGGCGAAAUUCACAAGGCAUACAUCUCGUAAGGCAGUCGAGAUAAUCUAGUCCAGCAGGGAGAUUCUUGUUCCAGAAACAAUCUUCUACCACGAUCUCAUUUCUCCCUUCCGGAAAGUCAACGUCUGAACAUCCCAUUUUGAUUGCUGGAAAGUUUCUCAAAUUCGGGCAUCCAGUGAGAUUGAGGUACUCGAGAGAUUCCAAGUUGAGAUCGGUUGGAAAACUCUCUAGCUUUUUGCAAUCACUCAUAUCUAAAUAGAUCAGUUUAGUGGCAUUCUGAAUCGAGGAAGGAAGUGUCACCAAAGAUUUGCAUCCAACAAGAUCUAAUUCCUCGAGGUUUAUGGCUAAAGAAAGAUCUGGAAUUUCUUUCAAAUUGUUGGAAUACCUCAAAUUCAUCUCCUUGAGACUUCCAAGGGGCUGAAAACAAAAUAUGGAAAAAGAGAAUACACACGUUCACAAAUAUACCACAGUUCUGUUCUAAAAACUGACAACUAAUAAAAUUUAGAAUUCGUACCAGAGUUCCUUCCCACAGUUUCUCAAGCUUACUAUACUUCAUUAUGAGGUUAACUAGAUAUUCCGCCUUAAAAGUAGAUGGCAAAGACUUCAAUGGACAAUCAUCCCAGUCUAGCAAUCUGAGUUUAAGGGGCAAAUAAACGAGGCUCUGAGGUAGAUCCCCGUAAUAACCAAUUUCUAGAUAUUGCAGAUUACGCAUGCCUUUGAACGAUUCUUUAUCUAUUAAUAACGGCCUUGUCGAAAAAUAUUCCUCGAAUGGCAAACGUAUUCCAAGAAGAGUUUCUGUCCCCUGAAAAAAAAUCCGAAGAAAACUAAUAUAAUCUUAACAAUCGCAACCCUUUUUAAUUUUCUGACACAUCAAAGCUACAUUUUAAUUACGCAUGAGGCAACAAUUGCUUAAGUUUAUCAAUCCCCAAAUUACGAUUAUAUUAAUAUAAAGUCAUGCAUUCAAACGGAGCUGCGAAAAAAACUUACAGUUUUCUCGGUCACUACUUCAUGAAUAUCUUCAAAAUUCGUCAGAAAUCGACGUUUUCCAGGAUUACCCUUGGACUUUGCACGAUCAAUUUCUCUACCCAAUUUCUCUAGCAAAUUGUGCAUCUCUAUAUAUCCAUCCGGUGUAAUACGUAUGAGGGACUUCUCAGUCAACAUUGUAAACCCAACAUUAUCUUUAAGUAAAUCUUUGACGUAACUGACUUCAAAACCAUUGAAUAAACACGCGAUGUAAAGGAACAUAUCUUGAUCUUUUUGAUGUAAUCUAUCGUAGCUGACUCUUAAUGUUUUCAUAAUAUCUCCGUUCAAACCAUUUCGGAGCCUAGGCAUCAUCUCCAUCCACCAUUCUUUGGUCCUUCCCUUUAAAGACGAACCAAGGACACUAAGACCCAACGGAAGAUUACCGGCAAGCUUCGCAACUUCAAAUGCUAGUUCCUUAAAAUCAUCAGGUGGAGAGUCUUUCCCAAAAGCAGAUCGGCAUAACAUCGUAAGAGCAAGAUGUUCAGAUGGGAACUCCACCUCAUAUAUAAGGUCAAUCUCAUGAGCCUUGAGAAGUUGCCUAUCUUGAGUGAUCACAAUUAUUCUGCUUCCAGAUCCAAACCAUUCAGCUUUUCCCACCAAGGUCUUAAGAAACUCUAGACUAUCCACAUCAUCAAGAAGGAUAAGAACUUUCUGUUGCUUUAACCUUUGCUCCACCACACCAAAAUGCUCUAUCUUUAUGUCCUUUUGACCUAAGAUUUCCGAGAGAAGUUCUUUUUCCCACCUCAACUUCAUGCCAGAGACGUCACUACCGCUGGUGCUUUUAUAUGUUAUGAAAGCGCGAUGGUGGAACUGGAUAGAGAGUUUACUGUAAAGAGCUCUUCCUAUGGUACUCUUACCAAUCCCUGAUUGUCCCCAAAUCCCGACCAUUAUUCUAGCUUCCUUGGAUUCCAAGCACAAUACUGAUUUUAUUGCCUCUAUAUGAUUUUCAAUUCCGACUAAGUCGCCAAAAUCAUCCGAUGGUGUCAUAGUUUUUCUCAAAACAUCCUCGGCAAGCUCUUCAAUCAUGGCUGCUUCACUAGGCCUAAUAACAAUAGUCAACUGUUUCAUUAAAGAAGCAACGCAAAACAAAAAAAUCACGAAGUCUAUUCAUUGAAAUACCAUUUCCGAAGAUCAUAUCCGGCCAUAACUGCAACAGCUGCUAGAGCUUGCUUCCAACUUUGUUUCUCAUCCUCUGAUUUAGCCUUGCAUGUCUCUUCAAAGACCUUUCCAAAUUCGCCGGUCUGUUUUUUAACUUCCGAAGCAUCAACGUGGAAGAAAAUCGGAAUCACCAUUUGAUUCAAAUUCGUAUAACACUUGUGAAUCUCCACCAAUUCAUUCAGGCACCAGGUGGAUGAAGCAUAGUUCUUAGAGAAGAUAACGAUUGCUAUUCUCGAUUCUUUUAUUGCCGAUAAAAGCUCCGGGCCGAUUGAGCGGCUCCUCUCGAUCUCAUCAUCUAUGAAUGUGAUUGCUUUGCCCCUGAGCUCCUUGAGAAGAUGGCUGAGGAAUGAGUCACGGACAUCUUCUCCACGAAAGCUUGGGAAAACGUCGUAUCUCCGGCUGCCAGAAGAAGAAGCUAUCUCCAUAUCAUCAUCUUUGGAUGUAUCCAUCAUUUCACGGUCGAGCUCGAGCUCCUUGACAAGAUGGCCACGAAACAAUUUGCCGAAAUUUUCUCCACUGAAGCUCGCGAAAACAUUGUAUAUCCAUCUGAGAACAUUGUAUAUCUAUCUGAAGCAAGAAGACGCCAUGGCAGAGGAUGAGAGAGAAGAGACGAAAUUUCUCAAAGGAAAACUCUUUGAAGUAUAUCAAUAAUACAACACAGUAACAGAGAGGAGAAACUUGGUCUUCCUUUCCUCGAAGACUUGUAUAGAAGACUUACUAUACAAGAUAUUGUUUUAGUGGUUAAAAUCAAAUCCCAUUACAAGACAAUUGGGACAAAUAAUACGUAAACUUGGUCUUCCUUUCUUAGAAGACUUGCAUAGAAGACUUACUGUACAAGAUAUUUUUUUAGUGGUUGAAAAAUCAAAUCCCUAACAAGAUAAGGCCAUAAUUAUGUGAUACAGAAACUUCCCCUUCCUUUCCUUGGAAAGCUUCUACUCUAUAACGAUAAGUCAAUUUUGUGGCUAUCAGUCGUCACUGAAUUUAUCUAUGAUGAUGAGACGUAGCCAUUCUACAAGAUUUCAAGAUAAUUUCUAGGCAAAAUAGACAGAAACUUCCUCGAGAGCUACUUUUCCUCUCCACAGAUAUUUUUGAAGACCCAAAAUUUUGUGGCUGUCAGUGGUUCAAGACAGAAACAAGAUUUCAAUUUAUUUUAACAAUGUUAAGGUUCACUAAUAUCAAAAGUCUGGUUUUCCUAUUCAUACUGUACAUACAUGCAUGGAAAUUAGGAGAAUAAUUAGUAUAUCGAUUAUGAGGAUUAUAAUUCAACUAAUAAUACAGUGAAAACACUAACAACAAACUAUCUAGUUUUCUAGAGCUGUGUGGUGUGGACAGUGGAGAGAAUAUUUUCAUGUAAAGUUUUCUUGUUUACAUUUACAAUUGUAAUAUUAGUUUAGAGUUUUGGCUUACUGUGUCAGCAACCACUGUAGGCUGCGAUUGCAUUUGCUGCCGUUUAAGGAGCAUUUGGUUUCUAAGGGUAGGUUUCAUGUACUGGAUGGAAGAAGUCGUGCUUGAGAGCAUCCUCUGCACUGAUUCGCCGUCUCGGGUUAACGGUCAAACAUCUAUCAACGAGGUCAAGGAGCGACCAUGGAAUUGCAUCUAGAAACUCCAUGCGUUUUGGGUUGAGUUCGUACCAUUUUCUCAACUCCAUCCCUUUCAAGUACCUUGACUUGUACAAUUCCUGAAACAACAACACAAAAAUCAACCUGAACUCAUCUCUCACGAUCAUCUAUCUAAUAAUUUUGUCGGUAAUUUACAUUUUUAAGAUAUAUAAUGUUUUGGAACACAAAAUGCUAACAAUGAAAACCCUUUUGUGAUAUUUGAAUCCAAAUGCUGGCGGCAAAGAAGAACAGAACAUGUAUGUUAUGUUCACACCAAUGCAGUAAUCAAAUGAAUGGAGAGUUUACAAGGGAUGAAAGAUGAGAUUUUACCUCAUGUAAAGAGGAUUCACGGUUGUGCAGCUUGGCUACUUCCCAUAAUUCUUCACUGCCUCGUAGUUGCGCAAUGUCCUUUAUGUUCCUGGGAAUGACAAGGUCGUUGUAAGACGGCAAGAAAGAAGAAAAAAGUGGAACCGAGUGAUGGUGUAUUCAGUCAAGUCAGAUCUUAACUGUUCAGGGUCACCAGUGAGAGCUUUCCUUCCCAUUAUGAGGUAUAACAAAGUAACUCCCGCAGAACACACGUCUUUUUUUAGGUCCUUGGUCCAAAGACCAUUCAGCCGAGAACAGCCCUAGAGAAUUAGCUUUUCCAUCCCAUCCUAGAUGUGUUAAUGAGUAGCUCAGGGAACAAGAUAUUUUCAUAUGGAUUUAACUAGUAUCAAGGGAAGUGAUAUAUCUGCAGGAAAAAUGGCUUGUGUCAAAACAUAUGAAAUCGUCUUGCCAUUAUCAUUAUAGUCAUGCUCGGUCCCAAGUUAUCCUAAAACAGAGGAAAACCGAAUAAUAAGAUGCUUCAGUUACCAGAACCAGAAUUCAAGAUAGGAAUUUCUUCAUCUUGUUGUUCACUUAUCAUGGAAUCAACACACAAAGAUUCCCCCUCCAGAGAUGGAUAAGAAGAAACUGAUGAUGCUUCUCCCUGCCCUAACGAAAGCUCCAUAUUUAGAGCGGUCAAGCUUGUGUCCGCUACAAUUUGGACACAGGGUAAGUUGAUAUAUUCUUCAGAUGUUCCCGAUGUCAUCUGCAUCGUAAACCAAAGGAUCGAUUCUGUUAAAUAGUCUGUCACUAAGGUAUUGAUCCUGGAAAAUAUAAUAAAACAUCAAGAGAUAGCUUUGCAAUUUUCAGUUCUAAUUAUGUCAAAAGGCUUACCCGCAUCCGCUUAUUGCUUCUCGCAGUCUCUACAACAUCACAUUUUUCUCGAGACUGUUGGCUGUACUCUGUUUCAGAGCUUCCAUCACUAUCAUCUGGAAAUGGAGACACAUUCAAGAGUCGUAUACCACAUUCUUUUAUCCUCUUGGAGCAAGAAAAGUUAAACUCCACAUCGUUGAAAGUCAAUUUAGAUGGAAGAUCUUCAGGCUGGAAGUUGAAGGAACAGAAAACCAGAUGAUCCGUCUUACACAACCGCAGGUCUGCAUCUUUAAAAAAUGAUUUGCAAUACAGUGUCCCAUUGAAGCCAGCAUUUACCUCACAAUAUGGACCCCAACUCUUGCCCUCAGUUAGAAGGUCAACCACGAUGCAAGCCUUAAAGCAAGAAUACUUGAGAAAGAGAGCUCUAAGGUAAAGUGACAGUUAGGGAAUCUCCAUAAGCUCGAUGUUGAAAAUACGUUGGCACUUCUCCACCUGGUAAGGACAUAGGCUUGAACAAUGACCGUAAGAUGAGUUCUCGCGCAUCUCCAUCCAAUUUGCAGCAGUUCUGGAAGAGAUAAUGAAAGGCCCCGAUCCGGACUACCUAAGUCCGGACGAGAUCUCUCGACCCAAGUCACUAAGUGACUCGACCCAAGUCACUAAGUGACUCGACCCUAACCAUUUAUGAGGUUCAUUCCCUAGUGUAAUCCGUUUCAUACAAUUCUGUGAUUCAAUAUAUGAGACGAAUAGAGUAAACAAACAAUCGGAUACUUUAUUAAUUAAGUAAAGGAUUCGAUACAACUUAUGAGUUUGCAUAUAAGCUAUUACAAGUAAUUUAAUCGAUCCCUAGACUAUCCGAAACUAUCACCACCCAUCAUUCCGGCCUUGAGUCUCUCGCGCCUAAGCCAAGUCCUUCCCACUAUCACCAUUGGUUCCUGAAAGUCAUAGAGCCAUAAGUAAUUUCAUUUACUUAGUCAUAUGCAAGUCCAUGCAAUGCUCCAUAGUCCUUACACUACUCGGAUCCGCGGAGAGGAUUCGGAGAAGGGAAGAUCGCGCAUAAGUCCGGCCGAUUCUCGGUAGGUCAAUUAAGACCCGCCGGUCCUCCGCCGAGCCGCGUCUCCGCCCCAGCCGAUCCCUUGCCCGGACCGAGGCUUGUGUAGGUUGCACAUGACCCGAUUCUACCCAGCCCAUUAGUCGUUCCUUUCAAGGAAUCCCGACUCAUUUAACGCAUUCUAGAAUCCUUAGACUCGAGGUCUAGGAUUCCUUACCUUCCUUCACGAUGUUCGGUCGAUCCGACCCUUCUUCUUCCUUGCCGGCCACAGUCCGCCUACCGAUUUCCUCCGAUGAUUUAUUCUCCCGAAAGGGAGAGAGUUUAAUGGUGAGUUUCCGGUAUUUUCCGUGUGUUCUGCUGCCUCUAAAGGUCUUGGGCGCCCUCCCUUAUAUAAGGAGCGAAUUGAUGCUUCCCGAAGGAUCACCUCCGUUCCUUGCACCUUUCCGAAGAGUUGCAUCUCUCGGUCCGUAACUGCUCGCCCUUAUCCACCCUUUGGGCGAGCACCCGUUCGACCGUAACCGCCCAAGUAACCGUCCGGGUAACCGCCCAGCUGGUCAGACAGUCGACCAGCUGCCUCGAGCUCAACCGUCACUCGCCCAGCUGCUCGAGCUGGACUGUCACUCAACCCGAGUAACCGUCACUCCUUCCAGCUGAGCUUGAGCUUCGGACGAGCUGACCCAGCUGAUUCCUUUACGAUCCUAGCUUAGCCCGCAUGAUUUCCCUUUGUCCGAGCUUAUGGCCAACUCCUUCCCACUUGUCCGAGACUCCACCUUCUUUUCUCGGACCAAGUCCCAGCCAACGAUCCUAUUGAGGAUCGCGGGCGUUACAAGUCUCCCCUUUGAAUUGGAUUCGACAAAUCGAAUCCAAGUUGAUCUUUACCCAUCUCCUUGAACCACUCCGGAAAAUUGGCCUUCAUCUUAGUCUCGGUUUCCCAAGUGUAUUCUUCACGGCCUCCACAAUUCCACAAGAUUUUUAACAAAUCCAUUGAUUUCCCCCGAGUCCCUUUCUUCAUUUGGUCCAUGAUCCGUACCGGCCAUGCUUCCACCGUCAUGUUCUCCUUUAACCCAGGAGGUACAUCUUCCAUGCUUUCUUCUUGUUCACUUAAGCACUUCCGUAGUUGUGAUACAUGAAAGACAUUGUGAAACGCGUCUAGUUUUGGAGGAAGGUCAAGUUUGUAUGCCACCGCCCCUACUCGUUCGAUCACUUUGUACGGGCCAACGUACCUUGGCCUUAACUUUUUCCUUGAUGUGAAUCGCCCUGCCCCUUUGUAGGUCAUCGCCUUUAAAUACACCAAGUCUCCCACUUGGAAUUCUAAUUCCUUUCGACGCUUGUUGGCGUAACUUUUCUGACGAUCUUGGGCUUCCUUUAACUUGAUUUUUAAGAACUUCAUUUUCUUCGUGGUUUCAUCCACGACCGCAGGUCCGAACAACCGACGUUCGCCCACUGGCGUCCAACACAACGGUGUUCUACCAGCUCGGCCAUACAACGCCUCAUAGGGAGACAUACCAAUACUAGCUUGAAAACUGUUAUUGUACGCAAAUUCUACUAACCUUAGAUAUUUCUCCCAGUUUCCUCCCCAAUCCAAGACGCAUGCCCUCAACAUGUCCUCGAGGGUUUGAAUCGUUCGUUCGGACUGUCCGUCCGUCUGUGGGUGAUAUGCAGUACUUAGAUUCACUCGAGUCCCUAAGACCUUUUGAAAAGGCUUCCAAAAUUUUGACGUGAACCUUGUGUCUCGGUCCGACACUAUACUAACCGGAAUCCCAUGUAAUCGCACGAUCUCGUCUAUGUACUUCUCGGCAAUGAUUUCGGCUGCAUCCUUAUCCGAGAUUGCCAUGAAGUGCGCAGACUUAGUCAAUCGGUCUACUACAACCCAUACCGCAUUGUGUUUGGACUUGAUCCCCGUCGGCAGUCCCGUGACGAAGUCCAUCAUUAUAUGGUCCCACUUCCAUUCCGGUAUAGGUAGGUUUUGUAACAUUCCACUUGGUACUUGAUGCUCUUCCUUGGCUACCCACCUGGCCACAUCUUUCUUCAUUCCUACCCAAUGGUAGUAUCUUUUAAGGUCGCGAUACAUCUUGUUCGACCCAGGAUGGAUCGAGAACUUCGAUUGAUGCGCUUCUUUUAGGAUUUCCUCCUUCAACGCCUUAUCGUUCGGCCCACAUACUCGACCGUUCACCACGAUAGUACCAUUGUUCGAGCUUUGGUACUCGGUUUUAUUGUUUUGUGCCCACCCUUUUAUUUCUUCAUCUCGUUCUUGAGCCGACCGGAUCCUACUAAGUAGGUCGGCUUGAUUGGCGGCUCUCAACCCUAAGGGUUCAACUUCCUUAGACAAAGCAUUCAAAUGCAAUGUCCCCAUCAUGUUAACCAAAUUCACUUGGUUCCUUUCCGCUUCCACUACCGUGCGCAGCCUGCUCAAAGCAUCUACAACUUGGUUGGCCUUGCCCGGAUGGUACGCUAUGUUCAAGUCGUAAUCCGCCACAAGUUUUAUCCACCUUCUUUGCCUUAGAUUUAACUCCGGCUGGGUGAAUAUGUAUUUUAGGCUCUUGUGGUCAGUAAAGAUUUGAACCUUGGCACCAUACAAAUAUGAUCGCCAAAUCUUCAACGCAAAUACUACCGCGGCCAUUUCCAAAUCAUUCGUAGGGUAGUUCUUCUCGUGUUUCCGCAAUUGCCUCGAGGCGUAUGCGAUAACACUCCCCUUUUGGAUCAAUACGCAUCCUAGUCCUACUAUGGAUGCGUCCGUGUAGACCGUAUAGGGCUCACCUUCCUCCGGUAAGACCAACACCGGUGCAUUAGUCAACAUGGCCUUUAACUCCAGGAAGCUUCUCUCGCAUUCCUCCGACCAGUUGAAUGCGGUGUCUUUUCCGGUCAAUUGAGUCAUGGGUUGGGCCAUGCUCGCAAAUCUCUCGACCCAAGUCACUAAGUGAAUGGACCCUAACCAUUUAUGAGGUUCAUUCCCUAGUGUAAUCCGUUUCAUACGAUUCUGUGAUUCAAUAUAUGAGACGAAUAGAGUAAACAAACAAUCAGAUACUUUAUUAAUUAAGUAAAGGAUUCGAUACAACUUAUGAGUUUGCAUAUAAGCUAUUACAAGUAAUAUAAUUGAUCCCUAGACUAUCCGAAACUAUCACCACCCAUCAUCCCGGCCUUGAGUCUCUCGCGCCUAAGCCAAGUCCUUCCCACGAUCACCAUUGGUUCCUGAAAGUCAUAGAGCCAUAAGUAAUCUCAUUUACUUAGUCAUAUGCAAGUCCAUGCAAUGCUCCAUAGUCCUUACACUACUCGGAUCCGCGGAGAGGAUUUGGAGAGGGGAAGAUCGCGCAUAAGUCCAGCCGAUUCUCGGUAGGUCAAUUAAGACCCUCCGGUCCUCCACCGAGCCGCGUCCCCGCCCUAGCCGAUCCCUUGCCCGGACUGAGUCUUGUGUAGGUUGCACAUGACCCGAUUCUACCCAGCCCAUUAGUCGUUCCUUUCAAGGAAUCUCGACUCAAUUAACGUAUUCUAGAAUCCUUAGACUCGAGGUCUAGGUUUCCCUUACCUUCCUUCACGAUGUUCGGUCGAUCCGACCCUUCUUCUUCCUUGCCGGUCACAGUCCGACUACCGAUUUCCUCCGACGAUUUAUUCUCCCGAAAGGACGAGAGUUUAAUAGUGAGUUUCCGGUAUUUUCUGUGUGUUCUGGUGCCUCUAAAGGUCUUGGGCACCCUCCCUUAUAUAAGGGGCGAAUUGAUGCUUCCCGAAGGAUCACCUCCGUUCCUUGCACCUUUCCGAAGAGUUGCAUCUCUCGGUCCGUAACUGCUCGCCCUUAUCCACCCUUUGGGCGAGCACCCGUUCGACCGUAACCGCCCAAGUAACCGUCCGGGUAACCGCCCAGCUGGUCAGACAGUCGACCAGCUGCCUCGAGCUCAACCGUCACUCGCCCAGCUGCUCGAGGUGGACUGUCACUCAACCCGAGUAACCGUCACCCCUUCCAGCUGAGCUUGAGCUUCGGACGAGCUGACCCAGCUGAUUCCUUUACGAUCCUAGCUUAGCCCGCAUGAUUUCCCUUUGUCCGAGCUUAUGGCCAACUCCUUCCCACUUGUCCGAGACUCCACCUUCUUUUCUCAGACCAAGUCCCAGCCAACAAUCCUAUUGAGGAUCGCGGGCGUUACAGAUAACCUGCCCUACAGGCCAAAUGUUUGUGGUUAAGGUUUUCCCAGAAACGAUGACGAGUAUACUCAAUGUUUUCAUAUAAUGGUAUAUAAGAAGAGUGAUCUUCCACACUGGCAUCACUCAUCGCCACGUUGACACCUCUACAUUCUGUAAAGUCGACGAGCUUAAGAAUUGUCAGUCUGAAAAUGUUUGGCGAGAUGUUUUUCAACCUCUUGCAACAAUACAUCAUAAGUACAGUGAGCCACGAGAAAUUUUCAAUGCAGCAGGGAACUUCUUCAAUAGCGGUGUUUUCCAGAUAGAGCCAUUUGAUACUCUUUGAAAUCAGAGGAAAAGUUCUCAAACUUGAGCAACCACUCAGAUCAAGCAUUUUAAGAGAUGACAAGUUGACAUCGGUUGGAAGAACCUCCAGCCCUGUGCAUUCUUUCAUUUCCAACCUCACCAAUUUUUGGAGAUUCCCAAUUGUAGAAGGAACUGUCACCAAACUUUUGCAAUUAGAGAGAUAUAAAUUCACCAGAUUAGUGGCCUUUGAAAGAUCUGGAAUUUCUGUCAGGUUUCCACAUUCUGACAUAUCCAUCUCCACGAGACUUGCAAGCGACUGAAACAGAAAUUAAAAAAAAAAAUUGUUAUGCUUCAAUCACUUUCAUUUUAAUUUAAUAACUAUACACAUUUAAACAAAAUUAUAAUCAAGACAUAAUUCUGUAUGUAAAUAUAAACCGUGGAAUCACAAGCCAUUUUGACAACUUUAAUUUGGUUAUACGUAAUUAUUUACAACAGAGGUUAAACAAAAAUCAGCAAAUGCUAUAAUAUUAACAAUGUACCUGGACGCCUUCCCAUAGCUUCUCAAGCAUUUGGUUGCCUCUCACUAUGAGACGAACCAGAUCAUUUGGGCGAAAUUCACAUGGCAUACAUCUCACAAGGCAGGCGAGAUAAUCAAGACCAGGGAGAUUCUUGUUCCAUAUACAAUUUUCUACGCGGAUCUCAAUUCCAUGUGGCGAAGUAGUUGAAGUUUCCAUUUUAAACACAGGGAAAUUUUUCUCAAAUUAUCGUAAUAAAGGAGACCGAGGUACUCAAGAGAUUCCAAGUUGAGAUGAGUUGGAAAACUCUCUAGCUUUGUGCAACCCCUCAUAUCUAAAUAGAUCAGUUUAAUGGCAUUCUGAAUCGAGGAAGAAAGUGUCACCAAAGAUCUGCAUUCCGAAAGAUUUAAUUCCUCGAGGUUUCUGGCAUUAGAAAGAUCUGAAAUUUCUCUCAAAUAUCUGGAACCAUGCAUAUUCAUCCUCUUGAGGCUUCCAAGUGGCUGAAAACAAAAUAGGGAAAAACAUAAUACACACAUUCAUAAACAUUUCAAAUAGAUUAAUUUUUACCACAGGUCUGUUCUAAAAAUUGACAACUAUUUCAAUGAAGAAUUAAGUACCACAGUUCCUUCCCACAGCUUCUCAAGCUUACUUCCCAUCAUUGUGAGUUGAAUGAGGUAAUCCGCCUUAAAACUAUAAGGCAAACAUUUCAAUGGACACCUAUCCCAGUCUAGCAAUCUGAGUUUAGGGGGCAAAUAAACGAGGCUCUGAGGUAGAUCCAUAUAAUCCCCAGUAACUGAUAGACAUUGGAGAUUACGCAUGCCUUGGAACGAUUUUUCAUCUAUUGGUAAUAGCUCUUUUGAUCGGAAAGCUGUGCAGAAACGUAUUCCAAGAACUGUUUCUGUCCCCUGAAAAAAAUACGAAGUAAACUAGUAUAAUGAUAUAAUCUUUACAAUGGCAACCGUUUUUAUUUUUCUGAGACAUCAAAAGAGCUAGCCACGUUUUAAUUAAGCAGGAGAGGCAACAAUUGUUAAAGUUUAUCAAUCCCCAAAUGACGAUUAAAUUAAUAUAAAGUCAUGCAUUAAAAGGCAUCUGCUAAAAACUUACAGUUUUCUCUGUCAAUACUUCUCAGAGUAUCCUCAAAAUCCGUUAGAAAUCGACGUUUUCCAGGAUUACCCUUGGACUUUGCACGAUCAAUUUCUAUACCCAAUUUCUCUAGCAAAUUGUGCAUCUCUAUAUCUCCAUCCGGUGUAAUACGUAUGAGGGACUUCUCAACCAACAUUGUAACCCCAACAUUAUCUUCAAGUAAAUCGUUGACGUAACUGACUUCAAAACCAUUGAAUAAACACGCGAUGUAAAGGAACAUAUCUUGAUCUUUUUGAUGUAAUCUAUCGUAGCUGACUCUUAAUGUUUUCAUAAUAUCUCCGUUCAAACCAUUUCGGAACCUAGGCAUCAUCUCCAUCCACUCUUCUUUGGUCCUUCGUUUUAAAGACGAACCAAGGACACUGAGACCCAAAGGAAGAUUACCGGCAAGCACUGCAACUUCAAAUGCUAGUGCCUUAAAAUCAUCAGGUGGAGAGUUUUCCCCAAAAGCAGAUCGGCAUAACAUCUUAAGAGCAAGAUCUAGAGAUGGGAACUUCACCUCAUAUAAAAGGUCAAUAUCAUGAGCCUUAAGAAGUUGCAUAUCUUGAGUGAUCACAAUAAUUCUGCUUCCAGGUCCAAACCAUUUAGUUUCCCCCACCAAGGUCUUAAGAAACUCUGGAUCAUCCACAUCAUCAAGAACGAUAAGAACUUUCUUCUGAUUUAACAUUUGCUCCACUACACCUAACUUCCCUCCUAUCUUUAUAUCCUUACCAAGAAUUUUUGACAGAAAUAUUUCUUCCCAUUCAGACUUCAUGCUAUAGACGUGAGGUACGAAAGCGUGAAAGUGGAAUUGGCAAAAGAGUUGACUGUAUAGAGCUUUUCCUAUGGUACUCUUACCAAUCCCUGAAGGCCCCCAAAUCCCAACCAUUCUAGCUUCCUUGGAUUCCAAGCACAAUAUUGAAUUCAUUGCCUCUAAAUGAGCUUCAAUUCCGACGAAAUCGCCAAAAGAAUUCGAUGGUGAAAUAAGCUUAUUCGAAACAUCAUUAGCUAUCUUUACAACCAUGGCUGCUUCACUAGGCCUAAUAACAGUAGUCAAAUUGUGUCAAUAAAGAGGCACCCCUAAAGCACACAAUCCAAAAAAAGAAGAAGCAGAUAGCAUAGUUCAGAGAUAAUUAAAAACACACUCAGAGAUAAUGAAAUCAAAAACAAAGUACCCGUUUCGAAGAUCUUCUCCGGCUAUAUUUGUUAUGUCUACUAGAGCUUGCAUCCAUCUUUGUUUCUGAUCCUCUUCUUUGUCCUCGCAUGUCUUUUUAAAAACAUCGCCAAAUUCGCCGGUCUGUUUUCUAACUUCCGAAGGAUCAACGUCGUAAAAAACUGAAAUCACCAAUUGACCCCAAUCAUUUAAGCGAUUGUGGAUCUCAACCAAUUCAUCCAAGCACCAAGUGGAAGAAGCAUAGUUCUUAGAGAAGAUCACGAUUGAGAUCCUUGCUUCUCUAAUCGCUGAUAUUAGCUCAGGGGCUAUUGUACGGCUUCGUUCGAUGCCAUGAUCCAUGAAUGUAUUGAUUGAUCUGCGGUCGAACGCCUCGAGUAGAUUGCUGAGGAACGUCUUGCGAACAUCUACCCCACUGAAGCUUGGGAAAACAUCGUAUCUCCGGCUGCAAGAAGAAGAAGCCGCCGCCAUGGAAUAUGAUGAGGAGAAGAUAAGUACAGUAAAUCGAAUACACAGUGAUUAUUGAUUAGAGUGAUUACUGUGAGGCCGGUCCUUAAGGGUGGGAUGCGCAAGGAAACUUCUUAUUUUUUGCCCAUAGGCCAUAAAUAUAAAAAUGUAGCGAAAUGUUUGUAAUGAGGUUCGAACCAAGGCCAAUGAAGCAUUUAAAACCUGAUUUCAAGUAUUCAACCGCUCAACUACAAGUUAUGAUGCCUCUUAAAUCAAUAUUAGAUUUAUUUUGGUGUCCAAGGUCUUUGCUUAUUGUAAAAAGGACAGCUUAUCGUAAACAUGUUGAGUGGGGAAUUCAGUCUUUGUUUCCCUAUACUUACAUGCAUAGAAACUAGGAGAAUUUGUAAGUAUAUCAAUUAUGAGGAUUUUAAUUCACAUAAUAAUAUAGUGAAAACAUUAACUAUCUAGUUUGUUAAAAAAAAAACUCUUUUAGCUUUCUAGAGUUGUGUGGUGUGGUGUGGAUGGACAGUGGAGUGAAGAUUUCUAGAAACUCUCUGCGUUUUGUGUUGAGUUCUCCUCAUUUUCUCAACUCCAUCCCCUUCAAGUACCUUGACACGUACAAUUCCUGAAACAACAACACAAAAAUCUAUGUGAAUUCAGCUCUCACGAUCAUCUAUCAAAUCACUUUAUCAGUAAUUUACAUUUUAAAGUUAUAUCAUGUUCUGGACUAACAAUGAAAACCAUUUUAUGUGAUAUUUGAAUCCAUAUGCUGGUGGCAAAGAAGAACAGAGCAUUUGUAUUAUGUCACACAAAUUCAGCAAUCAAGUGAAUGGAGAGUUUAUAAGGGAUGUAAGAUGAGAUUUUACCUCAGGCAAAGAGGUUUCACGAUUGCAGCUUGGCUACUUCCCAUAAGUCUUCACUGCCUCGUAGUUACUCAAUGUCCUUUAUGUUCCUAGGAAUCACAAGGUCGUUGUAAGACGGCAAGAACGAAAAAAGAGUGGAAUCGACUGAUGGUGUAUUAUAUUUUUAUUUAUUAUUAUUAGGUCAUUGGUGCAAAUAUCUGAAGCAAACCUGCACAAACCAAUUCAGCUAAAAUAAGCACCAGAGAAAUUAGCUUUCACAUCCUAAAUGUGACAAUGACUAGCUCACUUGACCUCAGGGUCGUGAUUGAGUUUGGUGGUUGUGGCCGGUGAGUAGGACGGGUGGAAGCUGGUUUUGUAUGUAUGGGGCAGUGGUGGUGCUGAGUUAUGUUGUAAUCACUGUUUUUUACUGUGAGUGUAGGAAACGCCAUGGUAGCAGUGAUGCAUUUAAUGCUGAUGAGGUUGCUAUUUAAAAAUUUAGUUCCAACACUUUUUUGUUGUUGAUAAUUCUCUUGUGAAAUACAUUUUUCUUUACCGAAUUUAUUCAUUGAUUUAAAGAGAGAAAAAUAACCUUUGGUAACAUACACGUAGAGAGAUAUGUGUGUUUCAAAAGACAAGACUGUUAUAUUUACAUCUUUUCAGGAAAGCGAAUUUUUCAAAGAAGCAAAACAGAGAGAAGUAAGAACAGAGUGGUUCUGCUGUUCUGGACAUGGAACCAUAAAAGUUUUCUAGUUGUCAGUGCUCCAUCAUCUGCAGGAGAAAAUGGCUUGUGUGAAAAACUAAGAAAUCGUCUUGUCAUUACCAGUAUAGUCAUGGUCGAUCCCAUGUUCAUUAUAAAACAGAGUUGUAAUACGUUUCAGGUUACCUUAACAAUGUGAUAAGCUGUAGAGACGGCUAAGGAUCCAGGAAAGGAAUCUUAACAAUGUGAUGGUGUGAAUUCAGUCAAGGCAGAUCUUAACUGUUCAGGGUCAGCAGUGAAAGGUGUCGUCCCCAUCAGACCAUACGUUUUAUUUAGGCCCUUGAUGCAAAGAUCUGAAGCAAACCAAUUCAGUCAAGAACAGCCCCAGAGAAUGAGCUUCCCAUCCUAGAUGUUCUAGUGAGUAGUUCAGGCCUACAACUUUCACUCUUCUCGAUAUAAUUAAAGAGUGCAGCGGCAUAGGGGAACAGCAGCGACAUAUUUUCUCAUCGACGUAGGAUAGCUGGAUGAUACUUCAUGGUUUGGAAGUGGACCAGACAAUGUCUCCUGUAGAAAGUUUAAAAGCUCUUUCCUUCACCCGAAGGAUUGUUCCUUAUGCUGGUUACAUCUUUGGCCGAAGUUAGGCCAAAAACGCUUCUGCCUUUUGGCUAUUGAAUCAGCGGAUAUGCAAAUGUUGCUGAUUCUUGUUGUUUUCUGUACCCAAAGUCUGAUUUAUUCAUUGCUAAUAAAGAGAAAAACAACCUUUACUAACAUAAACAUUGAGAUCUAUGUUUUAAAAAGGCAAGACUAUUUUGGGUAGUACCUGCACUCAAGCAGGUACGCUCCCAAAUUCAAUGUCUUUCUUAAAAAUAGAAUAUGUUUUUACAAAACAAAACAAUGCCAAAGAUGUUUUUCCAGAAUAUGCUAAAGUAUGGCUUUCUGAAACAUUUAUUCUUUCAGGAAAAGUGAAAUGUUCAAAACAAACGCAGAGCUGGAUAAUGUAACGGACUUUGGUUCUCCUAAAGAUCUUCAUCAUCUGCAGUUAAUUAUCAUUAUCAUUAUAGUCAUAGUCGAUCCCAAGUUAUCCUAAAACAGAGUAAAACAGAAUGAUAAGAUGCUUCAGUUACCAGAAUCAGUAGACAAGAUAGGAAUUUCUUCAUCUUGUUCUUCAGUUAUCAUGUAAUCAACACACAAAGCUUCCCCCUCUAGAGAUGUUGAUGAUGAUGCUUCUCCCUGCCCUAACGAAAGCUCCAUAUUUAGAGCGGCCAAUCCUGAGUCCGCUACAAUUUGGCCAUAGGGUAAGUUGAUAUAUUCUUCAGAUGUCCCCGAUGUCAUCUGCAUUAUAAAUCAAACGAUCGAUUCUAUUAAAUAGUCUGUCCCUAUGGUGUUUCGAUCCUGAAAAAUCAAACCAAAAGUCAAAAGAUAGCUUUAUAAUUUUCAGCUCUAAUCAAAAGUCAAAAGAUACCCCCAUCCGCUUCUCGCUUCUCGUAGUCUGUUGGUUGUACUCUGUUUCUUGAUAGACAUACAAGAGUCGUACACCGCAUUCUUUGAUCCUAUUGGAGCAACAAAAUUUAAACUCCAUUCAGACCAGAUCUUGAAGGAACAGAAAAACAGAUGAUCCGUCUUACAAAACUGCAGGUCUGCAUCUUCAAAAAAUGAUUUCUGAUACUGUUUGCCAUUGAAGCCAACAUUUACCUUCAAGGAUGGAUAAAAACCCUUGCCCUCGGAGGGAGGUUCAACCACGACGCAAGCCUUAAAUGGAAAGAAGUAUUGAGAAAGAGAGCUCUGAGGUAAAGUGACAGUUAGGGAAUCUCCAUAAGCUCGAUACGUGAAAUACUUAGGGAUUUCUCCACCUGGUAAGGCCACAUGCUUGAAGCAUGAUCGUAGGAUAAGUUCUCGCGCAUCUCUUUCCAAUUUGAAGCAAUUGCAGAAGCUAAAGGAUUCCCUACGUAAGCGCCAAUCUACGACGUAGUUCUUAUAAUCAUCAUCAUACAACGCAUCCCAGAAACGUUCACAUGUAUAUUCAAUGUUUUCAGAUAAUGGUACACAAGAAACGUGAUCUUCCAUUGUCGCUACCACAGUUGCAUCACUCAACGCCUUGAUGACACCUCUACAGUCUGUAAAGUCGGCGAACAUUAGACUUCUCAGUCUGAAAAUGUUUGGGGAGAUGUUUUUCAACCUCUGGCAACAAUACAUCAGUAGUACACGGAGCCUCGUGAAAUCCUCAAUGCAGCAGGGAACUUCUCCAAUGGCGGUGUUUUCCAGAUAGAGCCAUACAAUAUUAGUUGAAAUCAGAGGAAAAGUUCUCAAACUUGAGCAACCACUGAGAUCGAGGAUACCCAGAGAUGACAAGUUGACAUCGGUUGGAAGAACCUCCAGCCCUGUGCAUCUUUUCAUGUACAAACGUCUCAAAUUUUGAAGAUUCCCAAUUGUAGAAGGAAGUGUCACCAAACUUUUGCAGUUGUUGAGUAUCAAAGACUCGAGCUUGGUGGCCUUUGAAAGAUCUAGAAUUUCUUCAAUGGCGGUGUUUUCCAGAUAGAGCCAUUUGAUACUCUUUGAAAUCAGAGGAAAAGUUCUCAAACUUGAGCAACCACUGAGAUCGAGGGUUUCGAGAGAUGACAAGUUGACAUCGGUUGGAAGAACCUCCAGCCCUGUGCAUUCUUUCAUUUCCAACCUCACCAAUUUUUGGAGAUUCCCAAUAGUAGAAGGAAGUGUCACCAAACUUUUGCAGUUGUUGAGAUAUAAAUGCUUCAGAUUGGUGGCCUUUGAAAGAUCUGGAAUUUCUGUCAGGUUUUCAGAUUCUGACAGAUCCAUCUCUUCGAGACUUCCAAGCGACUGAAAAAAACAUUAUCGAUGAUAAUCAUUUUAAUUUUAUACCUAUAUAUGUUUAAAAUUAUAAUUAAACAUUAUUACGUAUGUAUGUAAGACAUAACCGUGGAUCGACCACAAGCCAUAAAAACAAAUUUGGGUAUACUUAAUUAGUUAUAUAACAGAAGGUAAACAAAAAUCAGCAUAGCAUUAACAAUGUACCUGGAUGCCUUCCCAUAGCUUCUCAUGCUUGUAGCACCUCACAUUGAGAAAAACGAGAUAUUCUGGGCGAAAUUCACAAGGCAUACAUCUCAUAAGGCAGUCGAGAUAAUCUAGUCCAGCAGGGAGAUUCUUGUUCCAGAAACAAUCUUCUACCACGAUCUCAUUUCUCCCUUCCGGAAAGUCAACGUCUGAACAUCCCAUUUUGAUUGCUGGGAAAUUUCUCAAAUUCGGGCAUCCAGUGAGAUUGAGGUACUCGAGAGAUUCCAAGUUGAGAUCGGUUGGAAAACUCUCUAGCUUUUUGCAAUCACUAAUAUCUAAAUAGAUAAGUUUAAUGGCAUUCUGCAUCGAGGAAGGAAAUGUCACCAAGGAUUCGCAUUUACAAAUAUCUACUUCCUCGAGGUUUAUGGCUAAAGAAAGAUCUGGAAUCUCUUUCAAAUAUUUGGAACCACGCAGAAACAUCUGCUUGAGUCUUCCAAGUGGCUAAUAACAAAAUAGGGGAAAAGAGAGUACACACGUUAGUGAACAUUUUAAACAGAUUCAUUUUAGUUUUUCUAACAGAUUUAUGUUUAGAAAUUGAUCACUAAUAGAAUUAGUACCUGAGUUCCAUCCCACAGCUUCUCAAGGUCACUAUUCUCCAUUCUGAGUUUAACCAGAUACUCAACCUUAAAAUUAGAAUGCAAACGCUUCAAUGGACAAUUAUUCCACAAUAGCAAUCUGAGUUUACUAGGGAAAUAAACGAUGCCCUGAGUGCCUUCCAUACGUGAGCAAUCAACUGAUAGAUAUUCGAGAUUACACAUGCCUUCUAAUGAUUUUAAAUCUAUUAAUAGCACCCCCGAACAAUAUAACGUCCUCAGUUUAAUGGCAUUCUGAAUCGAGGAAGGAAGUGUCACCAAAGAUUCGCAUUCAGAAAGAUUUAAUUCCUCGAGGUUUAUGGCUAAAGAAAGAUCUGGAAUUUCUUUAAAAUAUUUGGAAUACCACAAAUUCAUCUUCUUGAGACUUCCAAGGGGCUGAAAACAACAUAUGGAAAAAGAGAAUACACACGUUCACAAUUUUUUUAAAACAGAUUCAUUUGAAGCUUUUCUAACAUAUAUAUGUUCAUAAAUAUACCACAGUUCUAUUCUAAAAACUGACAACUAAUAAAAUUUAUAAUUCGUACCAGAGUUCCUUCCCACAGUUUCUCAAGCUUACUAUUCUUCAUUAUGAGUUUAACUAGAUACUCCGCCCUAAAAGUAGAUGGCAAAGACUUCAACGGACAAUAAACCCAUUCUAGCAAUCUGAGUUUAAGGGGCAAAUAAACGAGGCUCUGAGGUAGAUCCCCAUCUGACCAAUAACCAAUUUCUAGAUAUUGGAGAUUACGCAUGCCUUUGAAUAAUUUUUCAUCUAUUAAGAACGACCUUGUCGUAAGAUAUCCCGGGUGUGGCAAACGUAUUCCAAGAAGAAUUUCUGUCCCCUGAAAAAAAAUCCGAAGAAAACUAAUAUAAUCUUAACAAUCGCAACCUUUUUUUAUUUUUCUGACACAUCAAAGCUACGUUUUAAUUACGCAUGAGGCAACAAUUGCUUAAGUUUAUCAAUCCCCAAAUUACGAUUAUACUAGAUAUUGACCCGCGGUGUACCGCGGGUGGAUAUGUUCAUAGAAAAGUUAUACAUAUUUUUUAUACGAAUUAUUAUUUUUAUAUAAAUAAUAUUUUCUUAACACAUAAUUUUUAUUUAUGUAAAUCUUGGAUAAUUCAUGUUUUAUGUUCUCAUAUUUGUUAGUUUAAUAUUAAAAUUCAGUAUUUGUUUUUUUGGUUUGGGUUUUUUAGAGAUAAUAAAGAUCUAAAAUUCAUGUUUGGGGUCGAUAUUUUUAUCAGAAAAUUAAAUAUUUUUAUUUUAAUUAAUAUUAUUUAUAUAUAUAAUAUAUUCAAGAAGUACAUCAAAGGCCUAUAUUUUUAUUAAAUAAAAAAUAAUAUUUUUGUCUUUAAAAUGAUCUAUAGAUAUAUGCUAUUGUUUUUUUAUGUAUGAUACUAUGAUACACCUCUGUAUGAUUUUUAUAACUAAUUUUUUUUAAAAAAAUUAAAAUUUUUUUUAGUGUUUAAAAUUGUAUAAUUGUAUUUUGAUUGUUAAUUUUAGGAUUUCAUCCAUAGUAUAUCAUCCCGUAUCAAUAUCGAUCCAAACUCAUCCCACCAUAUAACCUCGUCCCGUGAAAUUAAAACUUCAUAAAAUUUUAAAAUCAUUAAUAUUUUAAAAAAAUUUAUAGACUUUAACUUUUAAAAAAGUUUAAAAAUUUGUAAUACUUAACUUUUAAUAAAGUUUCAAAAUAUAUAAUAUUUUAAAACUUUAAAACUUUUACUUAUUUAAAAUAAAGAACCAAAGUAAAACGAAAGCUCCUGCUCUUUCGUUUUCAGAAUCACUUUGGUCUUUUUUAUAGUAUAACUCUUAACGAUUUCCUCAUUUUUAAGCAAUGUGAGACCUUUAAAACUUAUUUUUUUUCAUCGAUGGAGUAUUAUAUGUUUGUUUUAAGAAAUUUAAAUUUCAUCAGAUGCAAAAAAAAUCUAAUAUUUUAUUAACUAUAUGUAUUUUAUAUAUAAAGUAAAAAAAAAUAGAUAUAAAAACAAAUAUAGUGACAGAAAAAUUAUAUAUUUAUAUUUAAUGUCGAUAUAUAGAUUUUAGAAAAUUAGCCUUAAUCGAAUAUAGUUCAAUAAAGAAAGAUUUAGUUAAGGAUAAAAAUUUAGGAAAGAGUUAAUUCAACUAAUUAAUGCAAUUAAGCUAAUUGUAAUUUUUUAGUUAUAAAGUAUUUGAUUGAGAUUAAAUUUGUAAGGACUAAUAUUGAAAAUAGUAAAUAGGUGAGGGAUUUUUGGCCAAAAACCCUACCAAAAAUGUAUAUGUAGAUUGACAUAAAGUCAUGCAUUACAACGUUUAAGGAGAUGCGAAAAACUUACAGUUUUCUCGGCCAAUACUUCUUGAAUAUCCUCAAAAUUUGUCAGAAAUUGACGUUUUCCAGGAUUACCCUUGGACUUUGCACGAUCAAUUUCUCUACCCAAUUUCUCUAGCAAAUUGUGCAUCUCUAUAUCUCCAUCCGGUGUAAUACGUAUGAGGGACUUCUCAACCAACAUUGUAAGCCCAACAUCAUCUUCAAGUAAUUCUUUGACGUUACUGACUUUAAAACCAUUGAAGAAACAUGCAAUGCACUUAAAUAACUCUCUAUUUUUUUUAUUUAACCUAUCGUAGCAGACUCUUAGUGUUUCCUCAAUUUUAUCAUCUGAGUCAUUUCGAAGCCUAGGCAUCAUCUUCACCCACUCAUCUUUGUCCCUUCCUUUUAGAGAUGAACCCAAGACACUGAGACCCAAAGGAAGACUACCAGCAAGCUCGGCAACUUCAAAUGCUAGUGCCUUAAAAUCAUCAGGUGGAGAGUCUUUCCCAAAAGCAUAUUGGGAUAUCAUCUGAAGAGCAAGACCUUGAGAUGGCAGCUUCACCUCAUAUACAAGGUCAAUCUCAUGAGCCUUGAGAAGUUGCCUAUCUUGAGUGAUCACAAUUAUUCUGCUUCCAGAUCCAAACCAUUCAGCUUUUCCCACUAAGGUCUUAAGAAACUCUAGAUUAUCCACAUCAUCAAGAAGGAUAAGAACUUUUUUGUGCUUUAAUCUUUGCUCCACCACACCAAAAUGAUCUAUCUUUAUGUCCUUUUGACCUAAGAUUUCCGAGAGAAGUUCUUUUUGCCAACUCAACUUCAUGCCAGAGACGUCACUACCGCUGGUGCUUUUGUAAGUUACGAAAGCGCGAAGGGGGAAUUGGCUAGAGAGUUGACUGAAAAGAGCUCUUCCUAUGGUACUCUUACCAAUCCCUGACUGUCCCCAAAUCCCGACCAUUAUUUUAGCUUCUUUGGAUUCCAAGCACAGUAUUGAUUUUAUUGCCUCUAUAUGAUCUUCAAUUCCGACUAAGUCACCAAAACCCUUUGGCGGAUGAAAAAGUUUAUUCGAAACAUCAUUGGCUAUCUUUUCAACCAUAUGCGCAUCAUUAGGCCUAAUAACAAUAGUCAAAUGUGUCAAUAAAGAGGCACCCUUAAAAGCACAUCCAAGUCUAUGCAAAAAAUAUUGUAUAGUUCUACGAUAAUUAUAAACACACACAUAAUUCAAAAAAAAACACACACAUAAAUAAUGGAAUCAAAACAACAUACCCGUUCCGAAGAUCCUCCCCGGCAAUAUUUGAUAUAUCUGUGAGAGCUUUAACCCAUCUUUGUUUCUGAUCUGCUGGUUUGUCCUCGCAUGUCUUUUUAAAGACCUUUCCAAAUUCACCGAUCUGUUUUCUAACAUGAGAAGGAUCAACGUCGUAGAAAACCGGUAUCACCUUUUGUCCAAAAUAUUUAGAGCAAUUGUCGAUUUCAACCAAUUCAUUCAAGCACCACGUGGAAGCAGCAUAGUUCUUAGAGAAGAUGACAAUUGAGAUCCUCGCUUCUCUAAUCGCCGAUAUAAGCGCAUCGGCGAUUAUGCAGCUUCUCUCGAUGACGUGAUCCAUGAAUGUAUUGAUUGAUCUGCGAUUGAGCUGCUUAAGAAGAUGGCUGAGGAAAUUCUUGCGAACAUCUUCCCCACUGAAGCUUGGAAAAAUGUCGCUGCCAGAAGAAGAAGCUGCCGCCAUGAAAGAUGAUGAGUUUGAGAUAGAAUAUCUUUAAAAGAAGUAAAUCAGCAAUACAUAAUGAUUAGUGUGCAGGAAGAGGAGAAAUCGUGCAUAGAAGACUUAUGCUGUGCGAAACGGAGUACCUUAUAUUCGCUGGGAAACGUGCUGUUAUGUACAAGAUUAGUAAUUUUUUAGUGGUUAAUAUCAAAUCUCCUAACAAGAGUAGGGUGACGACAGGCACAAUUAAGAUAAUAAAUAACUAGAUAACACAGAAACUUCGCCUUUCAUUCGUCGAAGAGUUGCAUAGAAGACUUAUUAUACAAGAUGUUUAUUUUACUGGUUAAAAUCAAAUCCCUUAACAAGAGAGUAUGGUGAGACACACCUAAUAUAUAAUAACAAUUUAACACAGAAACUUCGCCUUCCUUUUCUUGAAGAUUUGCAUAGAAGACUUUGUUCAAGAUAUAUUUUUUUAGAGGUUAAUUGAUAUCAAUUUUCCUAACAAAGUAUGAUGUAUUAAGACAUAAUAAUAACUUAAUAAGACAGAAACUUCGCCUUUCUUUCGUUGAAGACUCGCAUAGAAGACUUGCUAGUUGCUAUACAAGAUAUUUAUUUUACAGGUUAAAAUCAAAUCCCCUAACAAGAGACUAUAGUGAGAGACACAAUCAAGUUAUAACAAAUUAACACAGAAACUUCCUUCCUUUCCUUGCAGGCUUGCAUAGAAGACUUACUGUACAAGUUAUAUUUUUGUAGUGUAUGAUGACAGACACAAUAAUAAAUACAAAGAAACUUCGCCUGGCAUAGAAGACUUACUGUACUUCUAGUGGUUAAAAUAAAAUCGCCCUGAAAGAACUCAUAACUUUUUAGGCUACGUCAGCCGAGAAAAUUGCGACAGGAGAGGCGACUAGGGUUUUUUUCUUUUGCCGCACGCGAAGGGUUCCUAGCAGUCAGCCACCGAAUCUAUGUUCAGAAGGAGAAAGGGAAUUAUACAACGAUGUUCCAUCGCCAUGAAAUUUGCUUGAAGAAACUGAUAACAGUAGUAUCAUACUUAUAGAAGAAGACAUCUGGAAAGUUCCAAAUUUGGAGCCGUCAAGCUUGUGUUUGCUACUGUUUUACCACAGAGUAAGUUGGAAGGUUCUUCAUAUGUUCUUACCGUAAUCUGCAUAAUAAAAUCAAAUCUAUUAAAUUCCUUUGGUCUAUUUUGCAGGUGAUCCUGAAAAUGAAUCAAGAGUUAGAUAUGUAAUUUUCCGUUCAAUAAUUCAAAGCUUCACCCGCUUUAGCUUCUUGCUUCUCCCAUUGACUAUGUCACUUUCUCUAGAAUGUUGGUUGUUCUCAGUUUGAGCGCUCGUACCACUACCAUCCUCAGAUGGAGAGGCAUCUAAAUGCCGUACGCUGAAUUUUUUUAUCCUCUUAAACGACAAGUUUGCGUGUCGUGGUCAAGCCCAAAUUUGACACAAGAACAAGCAUUGCUAUGAUAUUCAAACUUGAAUUUCACAUCGUUGUAGUCCAAUUCAUAUGGAUAACCAAAGACUUCUUCUGAAGGGCAAAACUCAGAGCGGAACACAACCAUAAUGUACUAGGUAAGAUUUUUGAAUUAGAUUGUGCUACUUUGAAUUCCGAUGGUGUUUUUUGCAGCGUUCUAUUCUUCUAAUCAUUAUAUACUUUGUAAGAAAUAAGUAGUUUAUAAUCAAUUCUUUGCGAAAAAAUUAGUAUAGCAAGCAAAAUAAUUUACGUUACUAGAUUUCAAAUCCCAAUUUGAGCGGGAAGUCCAUCUAGUUUGAAGCUAAAAGGCUUUAUGACAAAUAUACUCUAACAAGCUUGCAGGCCAAGCAAAUCAUAUUAGAAGCAAAAGAAAGGUCGAGAAAAUAUCUUAGGAACAUCAUUAAUGAAUGAGUUUAAGGAGAAUGUUACCUGGAUUACUUCCCAUAACUUCUCAAGCUUGCUACCUGGCAUUGUAAGCUCUGCGACACAUUCUGCAUGACAUUUAGACGGUAAAUAUUUUAUUGGACAAUCAAUCCAAACGAGUUCAGUGAGACCAAAGAUAUUCCCAAUAAAGAAACAAUCUAUGUCUUCUCUGAUUGCAGUUUCGUUUAGAUGGAGCUCUGAAAUGUUCUUUGAAAUUCGAGGGAAACAUCUCAAACUUGAACAUCCCCUGAGAUCGAGGUGUACUCUAGAGAUUCCAAGUUAACGCCGGUUGGGAGAACUUUUAGAUUUUUGCAUCCUUGCAUUUCCAACCGCCUCAGUUUAUUGAGAUUCCGAAUUGAAGAAGGAAGCAUCACUAAACUUUUGCAAUCGUUAAGUUCCAAGUGGUCAAGAUUGAUGGCCGUUGAAAGAUCUGGAAAUUCUUUCAGGUUUUCACUUCCUGACAAAUCCUUCCUCACCAGACAGACUCCUUCCCACAACUUCUCAAGCUUGCUAUUCUCCAUUGUGAGUUUAAUCAAAAUUUCAGCCCUAAAAUUGAAACACAUACUCGUCAACGGAUAUUCAUCCCAAUAUAGCAAUCUGAGUUUUCGGGCCAAAUAAAUGAAUCCCUGAGGUAAACACAAUCUGCUUUCACCAGUCUCUAGCGAUCGACAACUCCUUGUAAAAUUUUAGAAAUGUGAGAUUACACAUUCCUUUGAAGAUUGUCCAUUUACAAACAAUCUAUUUCUGAGAUUACACUCAUCGAUUUCUGUUGUGUUGAAAGACAUGCCUAGCACAUUUUCAGUUCCUGAAAAAAAAACAUUAGUAUUUUACAACGGUCACAAUAAUCUAUUACGUUAUAGAUGACUCUCUUCGAUUCAUAUGGAGUAGUGUACUCAAACAUGAAAAUCAACUGACCCACCUUCCUUCUUAGUGGGUCCGCCACUGAUCAACAAGCAAGUUCUUGAUAUAAUCAACUUUUUGAUCAUUAAGUAAACACGCAAUGUAAAGGAAGACUUCUUCUUACUCCUUCAUUGUGCCUUCUCAGAACAGGUUUGGUUUCUGGUUCUUCACAGACUAGGAUUACCACAAUGUACUUUUGUUGAUUGGUCUACUGUCAUCACUUGGCUCCUGACCAAAUCCCCUUCCCUAUCAAAUGCUUUGAAACGCAUUUCUGCCCAAGCCACUAUCUACCUGCUCUGGCGAGAAAGGAACAAUCGCUUACACAAUGAUCUUUCCUCUUCGGUCUCUGUGAUCUUUGGUCAGAUUGAUAGGAAUAUAAAGGAUACUCUUCUUGCUCGUCAGUACAGGAAAGGUUGUGGGAGACUUCUAUCCCAAUGGUUUUCUUAUAGUUAACAUAUCUAUUCUAUUGAUCGAUGUUUCAAUCAUGGCUUUUUAAUUUUUUUUGGGCCUUUGAAACUGGCUGCCUUUUGGCAUUGUAAAUAACAUUUCCACUUUCCUUCUAAGGUAAUAUAUAUUCACAAGUUAUCAAAAAAAAAAAAAAAAGGGAAGACUUCUUUAUCUUUGUCAUCUAACUUAUCGUAGCUGACUCUUAAUGUUUUCUCAAAUUUUCCGUCUAGACCAUUUCGAACCCUAGGCAACAACUCCAUCCAUAGUCCUUGUCCUUUCCUCUUAAUGAAGAAACCAAAAGAUUGAGACAUAAAGGAAGAUUACCGAAAAGUUUUGCAACUUCACGAGUUAAAUUCACGAAACCAUCUGGUGGAGCGUUUUGCCCAAAAACACAUCGACAAAACAUUUGUAGAGCCAAAAUUAUAUUUCAGAUGGAAAAUUCAGUUCAUAAACAAGGUCAAUCUUAUGAGACUUGAAAAAGUUUUUUUUAUCUUUACUUAUCACAACAAUUCUGCUUCCAAUCCCAAACCAUCCAGUUUGUGCCACCAAGGUCUUUAAUAGCUCAAGAUCAUCAACAUCGUCAAUAAUUAUAAGAACUUUCUUGUGCUUUAACCUUUGUUCCACCGCACAUAAAUGCAAAACCUUUAUGUCCUUUUGACAUAAAAUUUCUGAUAAAACCUGUUCUUCUCGGUUGGUUUAUAAGUUACGAAAGCGCGAAGGGGGAAUUGGCUAGAGAGUUGACUGAAAAGAGCUCUUCCUAGGGUACUCUUACCAAUCCCUACCAUUCUAGCUUCUUCAGAUUCCAAGCACAACAAUGAACUCAAUCUCUCUAAAUGAGCUUCAACACCAACGAAAUCACCUAAAUCACUCGAUGGUGUUAUGAGCUUAUUCGGAACAUCGUUGGAAAUUGUUUCAAUCAUGUUUGCUUCAUUACACCUAAAAAUCAAUACUCAAAUGUCAGCAAUGAACACUACAAUCGGAGUCUUAAGCCUAAUCAAACAAAAAUUUGAAAAAAAAAAAUACCAGUUUCGAGAAUCCUCUCCAGCCAUAUUUGCCACAUCUGCUAGAGCUUUCCUACACCUUUGUUUCUCAUCAUCUGUUUUGUUCUUGCAUGUCUCUUCAAAGACCUUUCCAAAUUCUCCGGUCUGUUUCCUAACAUCAGAAUGAUCAACCUCGUAGAAAAUCGGAGUCACCAUUUGAUCCAAGUUUUUAAAGCACUUGUGGAUCUCAACCAAUUCAUUCAAGCACUAGGUGGAAGAAGCAUAUAUACUUGUUAGAGAAGACGACGAUUGAGAUCCUCGAUUCUCUUAUAGCCAAUAAAAGCUCUGGGCCGAUUGGGCGGCUUCUCUCGAUCUCAUGGUCGAUGUGUAUUGAUUGAUCUGCGAUCAAGCUUCUUAAGUAGAUGGAUGAUGAAUGAAUUACGGACAUCUUCAUCGCUGAAGCUCGGAAAAACGACGUAUCUCUUGCUGCGAGAAGAAGAAGAUACUCUAAACCUCGACAAUGACUAUACGACUGGGGAUGAGAUGGAUCUGGAUGAGGAGAAUGAAGAUGAAGAACAAGCAGGCCUAGAUUCACUUGCUAGUACAGCUAAUAACAAGGUGAAAGGUAGACGUAGACGUAAGCGUUUCAAAGUGCUUAAUAAUUAGAGAUAAUUUUAGUACCACAAGGAUAAUUUUAGUACCAUUGGAACUAAACUGGAAGAUCAUUAUGAGUGAUGUGCAAUGCAAAUACUGCAAUCAUACUUAUUGCUUAGACCUACGUAGAAGUGGUACAACUACUAUGUUGCGUCACAUGAGAGUUUGCUCAAAGACUCCUGGAAGUACACCUGCAACUGGAAUAAAAAGCUUGAUAUGAUGGUGUUUAGGGAGAUGAUUGGAUUAGAUUAGCAAUAAUUGAGCAUGAUUUGCCUUUUUCUUUUGUUGAGGACAAAAUAAUUAGAGAGACAUUUCUCUAUGCUAAUUCUAGCAUAUAAUUUUGGAGUAGGAACACCGCAACUUUUGAUUUCAAGUAUUGGACCGAGCUAAUGGACAUGGACAGUCCAUUUCGACAGCUCUAGCUUUGGAUGAGACUUGAUGGUUUGGAAUUGGAGUUGACUCCUUCACAAAGUUUUAAUAGUUCUUCCUUGCAUGACACGGAAAAGGCUAUCUCCUUUUUUCACCACCUGAAGGGUUGCUUCUUGUACUGGUCACAUGUUUGGCCGAGGUUAAGUCACACGCUAUUGAAUCAGCGAUCCAACACUUUUUUUUUUUUUUGUUGUUGUUGUUAAUUCUCUUGUGAAUUUGCAAUAUACAAUUUUGUUUACCCAAAUUCUAAUUUAUUCUUUGCUUUAAAACAAAAAAAAACUUUGCUCACAUACAUGUUAUCAUUAUCGUCGAGAUAUAUGUUUUUUUAAUAAAGACAAAGACUAUUUUGGGUAGUACCUGACCUGAGUCAAGUAUGUAAAACCCUAAGAUCACAAAUUCAAUGUCUUUUCGACUAAAACAGAUAAACAGUACGGUACAAUACAAAACAUCCCAAUGAUAUCUUUCCAGAAUAUAAUGUGCUAUGGCUUUUUGAAAGAUGUAUUUAUUCUUUUAGGAAAAGCAAAAUUCUCAAAGAAGCAAAGACAGAUAAGUAAGAACAGAGUGCUUCACUUUCAGCUAAAGAAGAAAUUACAAACAUUUUCAUCAGGCUCCGGAGUUGGAGACCUAAAUGGAUUCUAGACUUCUGGUUCUCCAAAAGCUCUCCGUUACCUGAAGAAAAGAUGGCUUGCGUUAAAGCUAUGUAAUCGUCUUGUCAUUAUCAGUAUAGUCAUGGUCAAUCCCAAGUUGAUCCUAAAACAGAACAAAACAGAACUGGAAGAUGUUUUGAUUACAUUAAAAAGUUGAUAAGCUCUGGGAACAACGAAGGAUCCGCGGUAGGUGUUUCUAUAUAUUGUUGUUCAGUUAUCAUUGGAUCAAUACACAAAACUUCUUCCUCUAGACAUGGUUGGGAAAGACACAACGAUGCUCCAUCAACAUGAACGUUGCUAGAAGAAACUGAUGAAAACCUGGGUGGAAGAACUCCCCUGCCAAUAACGAAAGCUCCAGAUUUGUAGCGGUCAAUUCUGUGUCCGCUUCUAUUUGGCCACUUGGUAAGUUGAUAUAUUCUUCAGAUGUUCCUAUUAUCAUCUGCAUUAUAAACCAAACUAUCUAUCCUACGAAACUGUUCAUCCUCCAAAAAAAUCAAGAGACAGCUAUGCAACUUUCAGAUCAAAACUGGCAAAAGGCUUACCCGCAUCCGCUUCUUGCUUCUCCCAGUCUCUACUACAACAUCAACUUUUUCUACAGACUAUUGGUUGUCCUCUUUUUCAGGAGAGACAUUCAAAAUUCGUACACCGCAUCCCUUUAUGCUCUCCUUGGGAAUAAACACAAAUUCCAAAUUGUUGUCUGAUUUAGAUGGAACGUCUAUAGGCGGGAACUUGAAGGAACCCAAAACCAUAUGAUCCGUAUUACACAACGUCAUCGUACCAUGAAAUACUGUCUCCCAAAUAUGUAGGAACUUCUCCACCUGGUAGGACCGUCUUGACGUAUGAUCGUAGGAUGAGUUCCUGCGCAUCUCCAUCCAAUUUGAAACAAUUAAGGAGAUAGAAAUAUUCUCUUCUCAUCAAGUCGGCCAUUUGAUGGCCGUGCUUGUUUAAAUUUACUGUCAAUGGUUUCUAGGAAAUGCGAAAGCGUUAAAGAAGCAACCACAAGGAUGUAAGAACAGAGUACUUCUGCCUUCAGCCUUCAGCUAAAGAAGAAAUUGCAAACAUUAUCAUGCUCUGGAGUUGGACUCUUUAACGGAUUCUGGUUUUUUUUAAGUAGUAACCCCUGCAGGAAAUUAUUGCUUUGAUAAGCCAAACUCCACUAAGAGCUUGAUGCGCUUGAUGAGCUUGAUGACCUGUCCAACAAGCAAGAAAAGAGUCAAUGUUGAGAGUUGAAAGUAUAUAUAGAGUCUCUAAUCUCUGAGAGGUUAUUCAAUUAGUGAAUUGGUGUGUUUGUUAAGACUCCUGCAUGAGUCUCUUGGGUUGAGGAUUCAGAGCCCGAAACUCUGCAAUUCUCUUCAUUGUGUGACAGAUUCUUUGAUAGAUCAAUAAAAGAUUGCUUGUUUAUUCUUGUCAAGCUUGUGUGAAAAACCUAUGAAAUCAUCUUUUCAUUAUCACUAUAGUCAUGGUCGAUCCCAAGUGAUCCUAUAACACAAAAAAAAAACAGAAUAGUAAGAUGUUUCAGUUACCAUAACUCCCACUCCCAAUCCACAUUAGCUAUAUGAAUUUGUGCAUCUUGUUGUUCAGUAAUCAUGGAAUCAACACACAAAGCUUCCCCCUCCAGCCAUGGAUUAAAAGAAACUGAUGAUGAUUCUCCCCACCCUAACGGAACAGUGUCUGUUACUAUUUGGCCACAGGGUAAGUUGAAAUAUUUUUCAGAGUUUCCUAAUGUCAUCUGUAUAAUAAACCAAAAGAUGGAUUCUUUUAGAUAGUUCAUCCCUGAAAAAAAACAAUCAAGAGAUAGCUUUAAUAGUUUUCAGUUCAAAAUAAUGGCAAAAGGCUUACCCGCAUCCGCUUCUUGCUACUUUCAGUCUCUACAUCAUCACAUUUUUCUCCAGACUGUUGGUGGUACUCUGUUACAGAGUCUCCAUCACUAUCAUCCGGAGAUUCUGUUUCAGAGCUUCCCUCACUAUCAUCCGGAGAUGUAGACACAUUCAAGAGUCGUAUGCCGCAUCUUUUUACUCUCGUCCCGUUAAACUUAAAUUCCACAUCAUUGACGUCUAAUUUAGAUAGAAGACCUGUAGGCUGGAACUUGAAGGAACACAAAACUAGAUGAUCCGUCUUACACAUCAUUUCCAUGCCCUCAUAUAUUGUAUGUCUAUAAUGUUCGCCAUUGAACUGAAAGAGUACGUCCAUGCAUGCAAAAGAAUGGGUUAUAGGUUCAACCACGAGACAAGCAUUAAAUCGCAAGAAUUUAUGAGAAAGAGAGCUCUGAGGCAAAGUGACAGUUAGGGAAUUUCCAUAAGCUUGAUGCUUAAAAUAUGUAGGCACUUCUCCACCUGGUAAGACCAUAGUCGUCUUGAAGCAUGAUCCUAGGAUAAGUUCUCGCGCAGCUCUAUCCAAUUUGAAGCAAUUCUGGAAUUUAAAAUAUAUUUCUCCAUACUCAUCCUCGUCAUCCUCAUCCUCGUCAUACUCAUACUCAUACUCAUCCUCGUCAUCCUCAUCCUUGUCACAUUUAGGUCUCUUUUCGACCUUAUUUAUCUUUUCAUUGUUUUGAUCUUCCAUUGUUGUCACCGGAUCACUCAACGCUGUGAUGACACCUCCACAGUCUGUAAAGUCGACCUUCAUAAGCCUUGUCAGUCUGAAAAUGUUCGGGGAUAUGUUUUUCAACAUUUUGCAACCACUCAUAUUUAGUACCUUGAGCCUCGAAAAUUUCUCAAUGAAGCAGGGAACUUGUUCAAUGGCGGUGUCAGCUAGAUUGAGUUCUUGAAUACUAGUUGAAAUCUGAGGAAAUCUUCUCAACGACUUGCAACCACGCAUCGAUAAUUCCAUGAGCCUCGAGAAAUUCUCAAAACAUGGAACUUCUUCAAUGGCAGUGUCAUCUAGAUUGAGUACUGCAAUACUUUUUGAAAUCUGAGGGAUAAAUCUCAAACUUGAGCACCCUUUGAGAUGGACUGUAUGGAGAGAUGACAAGUUGAUAUCCAUAGGAAGAACCUUCAGCCCUGUGCAUUCUUCCAUAUUUAACGUGUAUAAUUUUUGGAGAUUCCCAAUUGUAGAAGGUAACAUCACCAAACUUUUGCAAUUUGAGAGAUCCAAAAUCUCCAGAUUGGUGGCCUUUGAAAGGUCUGGAAUUUCUAUCAUGUUUUCACAUUCUGACAGAUCCACCCUCUUGAGUUUCCCAAGCGACUGAAACAGAGUAAAACAUUGUUAUGCUUUUCUUUUUUCUGAAUGUAAAACGUUGUUAUGCUUUAAUCAUUGUCAAUACUAUAUCUGUUUAGUGUUAUAAUCAAGAACAAGACAUAAUUUUGUAUAUAAUACACGUAUAAAUCGUACCUGGACGCCUUCCCAUAGCUUCUCAAGCAUGUUGUUGCCUCUCACUGUGAGGUUUUUGAGAUGUUCUGGGCGAAAUUUACUUGGAUUACAUCUCCUAAGGCAAUCGAGAUAAUCGAGUCCAGGGAGAUUCUUGUUCCAUAAACAAUCUGCUACCUCGAUCUCAAUUUCAUCUGUAAAGAUGAAACUUUGCAUUAUAAUCUCAGGGAAAUUUCUCAACCGGGGGCAUAGUAGGAGAUUGAGGAACUUAAGAGAUUCCGAGUUGAGAGGACUUGGAAAACUUUCUAGCACUUCGCAGUUACAAAGAUCUAAUUCCUCGAGGUUUGUGGCUAAAGAAAGAUCUGGAAUUUCUUUCAAAUUGUUGGAAUUCCUCAAAUUCAUCUUCUUGAGACUUCCAAGAGGCUGAAAACAACAUAUGGAAAAAGAGAAUAACACAGAUUUAUUUAGAUUGUUUAACAAAUAAAUUAAUAAAAAUAACACAGUUCUGUUUUCAAAUAGACAACUCGAAACAAUAAAGAAUUAGUACCUGAGUUCCAUUCCACAGCUUCUCAAGGGCACUAUUCUCCAUUCUGAGUUCAACCAGAUACUCAGCCUUAAAAUUAGAAGGCAAACGCUUCAAUGGACAAUUUUCCCACCGUAGCCAUUUGAGUUUACGUGGCAAGUAAACGAGGCCGUUAGGUAGACGCAAUCUGGUUUCUCUCGGUUGCCACCAGUAAUGAUCAUGAAUAUUUAGAAAUUGGAGAUUAAGCAUGCCUUGGAACGAGUUUUCAUCUAUUGAAAUAAAUGGCUUAUCGAUUUGUGAAUCUGAUGACGUGCUGAAAUCUAUUCCGAGCAAUUUUUCAGUGCCCUGACAAAAAAAAAAAACCCAAAGAAAACUGUUAUCCUCAAGUACCAAACUAAAUCAAUGUUUUUAACAUCAAAAGCCAAUCGUUGAAUUAAUAUAAAGUGGUGCAUUAAGCUGCAAAAACUUACGGUAUUAUCGGUAAAUACGUCUAGAAUUUCCUCAGCAUUCUCCAGAAAUCGACGUUUUCCAGGAUUACCAUUAGACUCUUCACGAUCAAUUUCUGUAGCCAACUUCUGAAGCAAAUUGUGCAUCUCUAUAGUAUCAUUCGGUGUUAAACGUAUGAGGGACUUAUCAUCCAACGUUUUGAGCCUAAUGUUAACAUUAACACCAUCUCCGAGGAAGUCUUUGAUGGAUUUGACUUUCCAACCAUUGAAUAACCAUGCAAUGUAAUGGAAUAUAUCUUGAUCUUUUGGAUCUAAUCUAACGUAGCUGACUCUUAAUGUUUUCAUAAUAUCUCUGUUCAAACCAUUUUGGAGCUCAGCCAGCAUCUCCAUCCACUCUUCUUUGCUCCUUCGUUUUAAAGACGAACCAAGGACACUGAGACCCAAAGGAAGAUUACCGGCAAGCUUUGCAACUUCAAAUGCUAGUUCCUUAAAAUCAUCAGGUGGAGAGUAUUUCCCAAAAGCAUAUUGGCAUAUCAUCUUAAGAGCAAGACCUUGAGAUGGGAGCUUCACCUCAUAUAUAAGGUCAAUCUCAUGAGCCUUGAGAAGUUGCCUAUCUUGAGUGAUCACAAUUAUUCUGCUUCCAGAUCCAAACCAUUCAGCUUUUCCCACCAAGGUCCUAAGAAACUCUAGAUUAUCCACAUCAUCAAGAAGGAUAAGAACUUUCUUGUGCUUCAACCUUUGCUCCACCACACCAAAAUGCUCUAUCUUUAUGUCCUUUUGACCUAAGAUUUCCGAGAGAAGUUCUUUUUCCCAACUCAACUUCAUGCCAGAGACGUCACUACCACUGGUGCUUUUAUAAGUUAUGAAAGCGCGAUGGUGGAACUGGCUAGAGAGUUGACUGAAAAGAGCUCUUCCUAUAGUACUCUUACCAAUCCCUGACUGUCCCCAAAUCCCGACCAUUAUUCUAGCUUCCUUGGAUUCCAAGCACAGUUUUAAUUUUAUUGCCUCUAUAUGAUCCUCAAUUCCGACUAAGUCACCAAAACCCUUUGGCAGAGGAAAAAGUUUAUUCGAAACAUCAUUAGCUAUCUUUACAACCAUGGCUGCUUCACUAGGCCUAAUAACAAUAGUCAAAAUUGUGUCAAUAAAGAGGCACCCCUAAAAGCACAAUCGAAGAUUCGAAGUGAACGCCAAGAAAAGAAAAAAAAAAGUACAGUUUUGCAAUAAUUAUAAACACUCAUAGAAAUAGUGGAAUAAAUAAAACAUACCCGUUCCGAAGAUCCUCCCCGGCUAAAUUUGAUAUAUCUGUGAGAGCUUUAACCCAUCUUUGUUUCUGAUCCUCUGGUUUGUCCUCGCAUGUCUUUUUAAAGACAUCGCCAAAGCCACCGAUCUGUUUUCUAACAUGAGAAGGAUCAACGCCGUAGAAAACCGGAAUCACCAUUUGAUCCAAGUCUUUGUCCUUGUGACACUUGUGGAUCUCCACCAAUUCAUUCAAGCACCACGUGGAAGAAGCAUAGUUCUCAGAGAAGAUAACUAUUGAGAUCCUCGCUUCUCUAAUGGCCGUUAUAAGCUCAUCGGCGAUUAUGCAGCUUCUCACGAUGCCGUGAUCCAUGAAUGUAUUGAUUGAUCUGCGGUCGAGCGCCUCGAUUAGAUGGCUGAGGAACGUUUUGCGAACAUCUACCCCACUGAAGCUUGGGAAAACGUCGUAUCUCCGGCUACUAGGAGAAGAAGAAGAAGAAGAAGAAGAUGAGCUCAGGGUCGUGGUGGAGGUCGGUGGUUGUGGCCAGUGGGUGGGAAGGGUGGAAGCUAGUUUGUAUGUAUGGGGCUGAGGUGGUGCUGAGUUAUGUUGUAAUCACUGUUUUUUACUCUGAGUGUAGGAAACGCCAUGGUAGCAGUGAUGCAAUUGUUGCUGAUGAGGUUGCUAUUUAAAACUUUUUUGUUGUUGAUAGUUCUCUUGUGAAAUUGUGAAAUACAUUUUUGUUUACCAAGAUUAUGAUUUAUUCAUUGCUUUAAAGAGAGGAAAAUAACAUUUCGUAGAGAGAGAUAUGUGUUUCAACAGACAAGACUGUUAUAUUCACAUCUUUCAGGAGAAGCGAAAUUUUCAAAGAAGCAAAACAGAGAAGUAAGAAUAGAGUACUUCUGUUCUGGACAUGGAACCAUAAAAGGUUUCUAGCUGUCAGUAAGUGUUCCAUCAUCUGCAGGAGAAAAUGGCUUGUGUGAAAAACUAAGAAAUCGUCUUGUCAUUACCAGUAUAGUCAUGGUCGAUCCCAUGUUCAUUAUGAAACAGAGUUGUAAUACGUUUCAGGUCACCUUAACAAUGUGAUAAGCUGUGGAGACGGCUAAGGAUCCAGGAAAGGAAUCUUAACAAUGUGAUGGUGUGAAUUCAGUCAAGGCAGAUCUUAACUGAUCAGGGUCAGCAGUGAAAGGUGUCGUCCCCAUCAGACCAAACGUCUAUCAUCUUAGGCCCUCGAUGCAAAGAUCUGAAGCAAACCAAUUCAGUCAAGAACAGCCCCAGAGAAUGAGCUUCCUAUCCUAGAUGUUCUAGUGAGUAGUUCAGGCCUACAACUUUCACUCUUUAUCAUAUAAUUAAAGAGUGCAGCGGGAUGGGGGAACAGCAGCGACAUGUUUUCUCAUCGACGUAGGAUAGCUGGAUGAUACUUCAUGGUUUGGAAGUGGACCAGACAAUGUCUCCUGCAGAAAGUUUAAAAGCUCUUUCCUUCAGCUGAUGGAUUGUUCCUUAUGCUGGUCACAUCUUUGGCCAAAGUUAGGCCAAAAACGCUUCUGCCUUUUGGCUAUUGAAUCAGCAAUGCAAAUGUUGUUGAUGACAAGGAUCUUGCUAUUUAAAAUUAGUUCCAACACACUCUUGUUGUCAAUUCUUUUGUGAAUUUGCGAUAUACAUUUUUGUUUACGCAAAGUCUGAUUUCUCUAUUCAUUGCUAAUAAAGAGAAAAACAACCUGUGCUAAUAUACACAUUGAGAUCUAUGUUUCAAAGAAAAGGCAGACAAAAUGUUCAAAGCAAACAGAGUGUUUCUGCAUUCAGAUAAAGAAGAAAUUACAAACACUUUCAGGCUCCGGAGUUGGAUGAUUAAACGGAAUUUGGUUCUCCAAAUAUCAUUCUGCAGAAUAAAAUGAUCUCCAUGUACCAUCUAUCAAUAAAAAAUGGCUUGUGUCAAAACCUAUGAAAUCGUCUUGUUAUCAUUAUAGAUAUAUAAUCAUGGUCGAUCCCAAGUUAUCCUAAAACAGACCAAAACAGAAUGAUAAGAUGCUUCAGUUACCAGAAACAGGAUCCAAGAAAGGAAUGUCUUCAUCUUGUUCUUUAGUUAUCAUAUAAUCAACAGACAAAGCUUCCCCCUCUAGAGAUGUUGAUGAUGAUGCUUCUCCCUCCCCUAACGAAAGCUCCAUAUUUAGAGCGGCCAAUCCUGUGUCUGCUACAAUUUGGUCACCGGCUAAGUUGAUAUAUUCUUCAGAUGUUCCCGAUGUCAUCUGCAUUAUAAAUCAAACGAUCGAUUCUAUUAAAUAGUCUGUCUCUAUGGUAUUUCGAUCCUGGAAAAUCAAAUCAAAAGUCAAAAUAUAGCUUUAUAAUUUUCAGCUCUAAUCAAAAGUCAAAAGAUACCCGCAUCCGCUUCUUGCUUCUCGUAGUCUGUUGGUUGUACUCUGUUUCUUGAGAGACAUACAUGAGUCGUACACCGCAUUCUUUGAUCCUAUUGGAGCAACAAAACUUAAACUCCACAUCGUUGAAAGUCAUUUCAGACUCGAACUUGAAGGAACAGAAAAACAGAUGAUCCGUCUUACAAAACUCCAGUUCUUCAUCUUCCAAAAAUGAUUUCUGAUACUGUUUGCCAUUGAAGCCAAAGUUUACCUCCAAAUAUCGAUAAAAACCCUUGCCCUCGGAGAGAGGGUCAACCACGAGACAAGCCUUAAAUCGCAAGAAGGAUUGAGAAAGAGAGCUCCGAGGUAAAGUGACAGUUAGGGAAUCUCCAUAAGCUCGAUACGUGAAAUACUUAGGGAUUUCUCCACCUGGUAAGGCCACAGGCUUGAAGCAUGAUCGUAGGAUGAGCUCUCGCGCAUCUCUAUCCAAUUUGAAGCAAUUACGGAAGCUAAAAUAUUCAGUACCUAAGUCCCAAUCACCAUCACCAUACAACUCACCCCAGAAACGUUCACAUGUAUAUUCAAUGUUUUCAGAUAAUGGUACACAAGAAACGCUAUCUUCCAUUGUCGCUACCACAGUUGCAUCACUCAACGCCUUGAUGACACCUCUACAGUCUGUAAAGUCGGCGAACAUUAGACUUCUCAGUCUGAAAAUGUUUGGGGAGAUGUUUUUCAACCUCUGGCAACAAUACAUCAGUAGUACACGGAGCCUCGUGAAAUCCUCAAUGCAGCAGGGAACUUCUCCAAUGGCGGUGUUUUCCAGAUAGAGCCAUACAAUAUUAGUUGAAAUCAGAGGAAAAGUUCUCAAACUUGAGCAACCACUGAGAUCGAGGAUACCCAGAGAUGACAAGUUGACAUCGGUUGGAAGAACCUCCAGCCCUGUGCAUCUUUUCAUGUACAAACGUCUCAAAUUUUGAAGAUUCCCAAUUGUAGAAGGAAGUGUCACCAAACUUUUGCAGUUGUUGAGUAUCAAAGACUCGAGCUUGGUGGCCUUUGAAAGAUCUAGAAUUUCUUCAAUGGCGGUGUUUUCCAGAUAGAGCCAUUUGAUACUCUUUGAAAUCAGAGGAAAAGUUCUCAAACUUGAGCAACCACUGAGAUCGAGGGUUUCGAGAGAUGACAAGUUGACAUCGGUUGGAAGAACCUCCAGCCCUGUGCAUUCUUUCAUUUCCAACCUCACCAAUUUUUGGAGAUUCCCAAUAGUAGAAGGAAGUGUCACCAAACUUUUGCAGUUGUUGAGAUAUAAAUGCUUCAGAUUGGUGGCCUUUGAAAGAUCUGGAAUUUCUGUCAGGUUUUCAGAUUCUGACAGAUCCAUCUCUUCGAGACUUCCAAGCGACUGAAAAAAACAUUAUCGAUGAUAAUCAUUUUAAUUUUAUACCUAUAUAUGUUUAAAAUUAUAAUUAAACAUUAUUACGUAUGUAUGUAAGACAUAACCGUGGAUCGACCACAAGCCAUAAAAACAAAUUUGGGUAUACUUAAUUAGUUAUAUAACAGAAGGUAAACAAAAAUCAGCAUAGCAUUAACAAUGUACCUGGAUGCCUUCCCAUAGCUUCUCAUGCUUGUAGCACCUCACAUUGAGAAAAACGAGAUAUUCUGGGCGAAAUUCACAAGGCAUACAUCUCAUAAGGCAGUCGAGAUAAUCUAGUCCAGCAGGGAGAUUCUUGUUCCAGAAACAAUCUUCUACCACGAUCUCAUUUCUCCCUUCCGGAAAGUCAACGUCUGAACAUCCCAUUUUGAUUGCUGGGAAAUUUCUCAAAUUCGGGCAUCCAGUGAGAUUGAGGUACUCGAGAGAUUCCAAGUUGAGAUCGGUUGGAAAACUCUCUAGCUUUUUGCAAUCACUAAUAUCUAAAUAGAUAAGUUUAAUGGCAUUCUGCAUCGAGGAAGGAAAUGUCACCAAGGAUUCGCAUUUACAAAUAUCUACUUCCUCGAGGUUUAUGGCUAAAGAAAGAUCUGGAAUCUCUUUCAAAUAUUUGGAACCACGCAGAAACAUCUGCUUGAGUCUUCCAAGUGGCUAAUAACAAAAUAGGGGAAAAGAGAGUACACACGUUAGUGAACAUUUUAAACAGAUUCAUUUUAGUUUUUCUAACAGAUUUAUGUUUAGAAAUUGAUCACUAAUAGAAUUAGUACCUGAGUUCCAUCCCACAGCUUCUCAAGGUCACUAUUCUCCAUUCUGAGUUUAACCAGAUACUCAACCUUAAAAUUAGAAUGCAAACGCUUCAAUGGACAAUUAUUCCACAAUAGCAAUCUGAGUUUACUAGGGAAAUAAACGAUGCCCUGAGUGCCUUCCACACGUGAGCAAUCAACUGAUAGAUAUUCGAGAUUACACAUGCCUUCUAAUGAUUUUAAAUCUAUUAAUAUCACCCCCGAACAAUGUAACUUCCUCAGUUUAAUGGCAUUCUGAAUCGAGGAAGGAAGUGUCACCAAAGAUUCGCAUCCUUCAAGAUCUAAUUCCUCGAGGUUUCUGGCAUUAGAAAGAUCUGGAAUUUCUUUCAAAUUUUUGGAACACAACAAAUUCAUCUUCUUGAGACUUCCAAGGGGCUGAAAACAAAAUAUGGAAAAAGAGAAUACACACGUUCACAAAUAUACCACAAUUUUCUGUUCUAAAAACUGACAACUAAUAAAAAUUUAGAAUUCGUACCAGAGUUCCUUCCCACAGUUUCUCAAGCUUACUAUACUUCAUUAUGAGGUUAACUAGAUAUUCCGCCUUAAAAGUAGAUGGCAAAGACUUCAAUGGACAAUCAUCCCAGUCUAGCAAUCUGAGUUUAAGGGGCAAAUAAACGAGGCUCUGAGGUUGACCCCCAUCUGACCAAUCACCAAUUUUUAGAUAUUGGAGAUUACGCAUGCCUUUGAACGAUUCUUUAUCUAUUAAUAACGGCCUUGUCGAAAAAUAUUCCUCGAAUGGCAAACGUAUUCCAAGAAGAGUUUCUGUCCCCUGAAAAAAAAUCCGAAGAAAACUAAUAUAAUCUUAACAAUCACAACCCUUUUUAUUUUUCUGACACAUCAAAGCUACAUUUUAAUUACGAAUGAGGCAACAAUUGCUUAAGUUUAUCAAUCCCCAAAUGACGAUUAAAUUAAUAUAAAGUCAUGCAUUAAAACGGAGCUGCGAAAAAAACUUACAGUUUUCUCGGUCACUACUUCAUGAAUAUCCUCAAAAUUCGUCAGAAAUUGACGUUUUCCAGGAUUACCCUUGGACUUUGCACGAUCAAUUUCUCUACCCAAUUUCUCUAGCAAAUUGUGCAUCUCUAUAUGUCCAUCCGGUGUAAUACGUAUGAGGGACUUCUCAGACAACAUUGUAAGCCCAACAUUAUCUUCAAGUAAAUCUUUGACGUAACUGACCUCAAAACCAUUGAAUAAACACGCAAUGCAAAGGAACAUAUCUUGAUCUUUUUGAUGUAAUCUAUCGUAGCUGACUCUUAAUGUUUUCAUAAUAUCUCCGUUCAAACCAUUUCGGAGCCUAGGCAUCAUCUCCAUCCACUCUUUUUUGCCCCUUCUUCUUAAUGACGAACCCAGGACAUUGAGACCCAAAGGAAGAUGGCCGGCAAGCUUCGCAACUUCAAAUGCUAGUUCCUUAAAAUCAUCAGGUGGAGAGUCUUUCCCAAAAGCAGAUCGGCAUAACAUCGUAAGAGCAAGACCUUGAGAUGGCAGCUUCACCUCAUAUACAAGGUCAAUGUCAUGAGCCUUGAGAAAUUGCCUAUCUUGAGUGAUCACAAUAAUUCUGCUUCCCGAUCCAAACCAUUCAGCUUUUCCCACCAAGGUCUUAAGAAACUCUAGAUUAUCCACAUCAUCAAGAAGGAUAAGAACUUUCUUGUGCUUCAACCUUUGCUCCACCACACCAAAAUGCUCUAUCUUUAUGUCCUUUUGACCUAAGAUUUCAGAGAGAAGUUCUUUUUCCCAACUCAACUUCAUGCCAGAGACGUCACUACCACUGGUGCUUUUAUAAGUUAGGAAAGCGCGAAGGGGGAAUUGGAUAGAGAGUUGACUGAAAAGAGCUCUUCCUAUGGUACUCUUACCAAUCCCUGAUUGUCCCCAAAUCCCGACCAUUCUAGCUUCCUUGGAUUCCAAGCACAAUACUGAUUUUAUUGCCUCAAUAUGAGCUUCAAUUCCGACGAAGUCAUCAAAACACUUUGACCGAGUGAUAAGUUUAUUCGAAACAUCAUUGGAUAUCUUUUCAACCAUAUGCGCUUCAUUAGGCCUAAUAACAAAAGUCAAUUUUGUCAAUUAAGAAGCACCCCUAAAAGAAGAACCGAAGUCUAUGCAAAAAUAUAGUUCUGAGACAAUUGAAAACGCAAGCAGAUAUAUUGGAAUCAUAACAACGUACCCGUUCAGAAGAUCCUCUCCGGCUAUAUUUGCUAUAUCUGUGAGAGCUUGCACCCAUCUUUGUUUCUGAUCCCCUGGUUGUUUGUCCUUGCUGACCUCGCAUGUCUUUUCAAAGACCUUUCCAAAUUCGCCGGUCUGUUUUCUAACUUCCGAAGGAUCAACGUCGUAGAAAACUGGAAUCACCAUUUGACCUAAAUCAUUAAAGCACUUGUGGAUCUCAACCAAUUCAUUUAAGCACCACGUUGAAGAAGCAUAGUUCUUAGAGAAGAUGACGAUUGAGAUCCUAGCUUCUCUAAUCGCCGAUAUAAGCUCAGGGGCGAUUGUGCGGCUUCUCUCGAUUCCAUGAUCGAUGAAUGUAUUGAUUGAUUUGCCGUCGAGCGCCUCGAUUAGAUGGCUGAGGAACGUCUUGCGAACAUCAACCCCACUGAAGCUUGGAAAAACGUCGUAUCUCCGUCUGCCAGAAGAAGAAGAAGCCGCCAUGGGAGAUGAUAGAGAGAACUCAGAGAAGAGACGAAGAUUUUUAAGAGAAGUAAAUCAGCAAGACAUAGUGUGAGAAAGAGAGGAGAAACUUCGUCUUCCUUCCCUCCAAGACUUGCAUAGAAGACUUACUGUACAAGAUAUUCUUUUAAGUGGCUAAAAUCAAAUCUCCUAACAAGACAAUUGAGACGUAAAUAAUAAAGAAACUCGGCCCUUCCUUUCCUCGAAAGCUUUUUUACACUACAUACAAAGAUAUUUUUGAAGAUUGAAUUUUUGUGGUUGUCACUGAAUUAUGAUAAGUCUUAGUCUUUGUACAAGACAGAAAUAAUAUUUCAAUUUCUAGGCAAGUAGACAGAAACUUACAUUCGUUUCCUCUACAAAGAUAUUUUGAAAACACAAAUUUUGUGGUUAUCAGUUGUCCUUGUACAAGACAGUUUAUCGUAAGAAUGUUAUGAUUGUUUAAUAUCUAAGUCUUGUUUCCCUAUACAUACAUGCACACGGUUUAGGAGAAUAAGUAUAUCGAUUAUGAGGAUUUUAAUUCAAAUAAUACAGUGAAAAUACUAAUUAACACUAACUCUCUAGUUUGCUAAAUUACUCUUUUAGUUUUCAAGAAUUGUAUUAUUAGUUUAAAGUUUGGCUUAGUGCGUCAGCCACCACUGUAGUUUUAAGGAGCAUUUGGUUUCUAAGGGUUUCAUGUACUGGAUGGAAGAACUCGUGUCUGAGAACAUCCUCUGCGCUGUUUCGUUGCCUUGGGUUAACGGUCAAACAUCUAUCCACGAAGUCAAGGAGCGGCCGUGGAAUUGCGUCUAGAAACUCUCUGCGUUUGUGUUGAGUUCACACCAUUUUCUCAACUCCAGCCCCUUGAAGUACCUUGACUCGUACAAUUCCUGAAACAACAACACAAAACUCUACGUGAAUUCAUCUCACACGAUCAUCUAUCUAAUCAUUUUGUCACUAAUUUACAUUUUAAAGAUAUAUAAUGCUAACGAUGAAAACCCUUUUGUGAUAUUUGAAUCCAUAUGCUGGUGGCAAAGAAGAACAGAGCAUGUAUGUUAUAUUCAAACCAAUGCAGCAAUCAAAUAAAUGGAGAGUUUUAUCAGGGAGGUAAGAUGAGAUGUAACCUCAGGGAAAGAGGAUUCACGGUUGUGCAGCUUGGCUACUUCCCAUAAUUCUUCACUGCCUCGUAGUUGCGCAAUGCCCUUUAUGUUCCUGGGAAUGACAAGGUCGUUGUAAGACGGCAAGAAAGAAAAAAGAGUGGAAUCGACUGAUGGUGUAUUAUUUUUUUUUUCUAUUAUUAGGUAAUUGGUACAAUAUCUGAAGCAAACCUGCACAAACCAAUUCAGCUAAAAUAAGCACCAGAGAAAUUAGCUUUCACAUCCUAAAUGUGAUAAUGACUAGUUCACUCCUACAAUUGUAGUCUCAGCUCUCAAUGCACAAGUUUAUUAUAUAUGGAAUUAAUUACUAACAUACACAUUGAGAUGUAUCUGUGUUUUUAGAAAAGUCAGGACUAAUUUAAAAACAUUAACUAAUUCAAUGUCUUUUAAACUUAUCCAUAGAUGUAAGGAAACAUACAAAAUCUGUCAAAAAUACUUUUCCAGAAUGAGCUAAAUUGUGGCUUUCAAAACAUGUAUUUAUACGAAAGCCUUAGAGAAGUAGAUACAAAGAUGUAAGAACAGAGUACCAUGCUCUAGAGUUGGAGACUUAAAAAGGCACCAGCGACGAAGAGCUUGAUGAGCCUGAUGAGCCUGAUGACCUAUAAAAGAAGAAAGAACAGAGUCAAAGAGUCAACAUUAUAACUAAAUAUUGAGUCUUUAAAGUAUAUAUAUAUAGAGAGAGAGUCUCUAAUUCUGUGAGAGAUUGAUUAUCCAAUCAGUGAAUUGGUGUGUUUCAGAGCCUGAAACUCUGCAGUUCUCUUCAUUAUAAUUCAGGUUAUUUGAUAGAUCAAUAAAGAUUGCUUGUCUUGUUAUGCUGCAACAAAACAAAACAGAAUAGUAAGAUGUUUCAGUUACCAUGAUGCCUCAGAAUCUUCGUCCCUAUGCGCGAUGGGAAUUUCUUUAGCUUGUCGCUUAGUUAUCAUGGAAUCAACAGAGAAAGCUUCACCCUCCAGACAUGGAUAUGAAAUUGAUGACGAUUCUCCCCGCCCUAAUGGAAGCUCCAGAUUUGGAGCGGUCAAUCCUGUGUCUGUUACUGUUUGGCCACAGGGUAAGUUGAAAUCUUCUUCAGAGUUUCCUAAUGUCAUCUGUAUAAUAAACCAAACUAUCGAUUCUUUUAGAUAGUGGCCUUCCUGAAAUAUUAAAAAGAAAAUCGAGAGAUAGCUUUAAUAGUUUUCAGUUCAAAUUAUGGCAAAAGACUUACCCGCAUCCGCUUCUUGCUACUACUCUCAGUCUCUACAGCAUCACAUUUUUCUCCAGACUGUUGGUUGUACUCUGCUUUAGAGCUUCCAUCACUAUCAUCCGGAUAUGGAGACACAUGCAGGAGUUGUACGCCGCAUCCUUUGAUCCUCCUCCCUUUAAACUUGAAUUCCACAUUAUCCAAGACCUUUACCUUUGGAUAUAGAGUAUUUUUAAACUGCCGGAACUUGAAGGAACACAAAACCAGAUGAUCCGUCUUACACAUCAGUGUCAUAUCAGUAGCUAUUGUAUGGAUAUAAUGUUCGCCUUUGUAUUGGAAGUAUACAUACACACUCCCAUAAGAAUCGGUUUGAGGUUCAACCACUACACAAGCAUUGAAUCGCAAAAAUUUGUGAGAGAGAGAUCUCCGAGGUAAAGUGAUAUUUACGGAAUUUCCAUAUGCUCGAUGCUUGAAAUAUGCAGGCACUUCUCCACCUGGUAAAACCAUAGUCUUCUUGAAGCAUGAACGUAGGAUGAGUUCUCGUGCAUCUCUAUCCAAUUUGAAGCAAUUCUGGAAGUUAAAAUAGUUUCUUCCAUACCAAUAAUUAUCUUCAUCCUCAUCCUCCUCCUCAUCAUCCUCCUCCUCAUCCUCGUCCUCAUCCUCAUCAUCGUCAUCGUCAUCUUCAUCCUCCUCAUCCUCAUCCUCAUCCUCAUCCUCGACAUCGGUAUUCUCGUUAUACUCAUCCUCAUCCUCAUUCUUGUCAUAACUCAUCCUCAUUCUCGUCAUCCUCAUUAUAGUCAUCCUCAACAUCAUCGUCUCGUGUACGCAUCUUUUCAAUCUUUUCAUAGUGAUCAUCCAUUGUUGCCACCACAGUGGAAUCACUCAACGCCGAAAUGACACCUCCACAGUCUGUAAAGUCGACCUUCUUAAGCCAAGUCAGUCUGAAAAUGUUCGGGGAGAUGUUUUUCAACUUUUUGCAACCACUCAUAUUUAGUAUCUUGAGCUUCGAAAAAUUCUCAAUGAAGCAAGGAACUUGUUCAAUGGCGGUGUCAGCUAGAUUGAGUUCUUGAAUACUAGUUGAAAUCUGAGGAAAUCUUCUCAACGACUUGCAACCACGCAUCGAUAAUACAAUGAGCCUCGAGAAAUUCUCAAAACAUGGAACUUCUUCAAUGGCAGUGUCAUCUAGAUUGAGUACAGCAAUACUUUUUGAAAUUUGAGGGAAAAAUCUCAAACUUGAGCACCCUUUGAGAUUGACUGUAUGGAGAGAUGACAAGUUGACAUCCAUAGGAAGAACCUUCAGCCCUGUGCAUUCUUUCAUUUCUAACGUGUAUAGUUUUUGGUGAUUCCCAAUUGUAGAAGGUAACGUCACCAAACUUUUGCAAUUUGAGAGGUUCAAAUUCACCAGAUUGGUGGCCUUUGAAAGAUCUGGAAUUUCUAUCAGGUUUUCACAUUCUGACAGAUCCAUCCUCUCAAGUUUCCCAAGGGACUGAAACAGAGUAAAACAUUGUUAUGCUUUUCUUUUUUUUAAUGUAAAACGUUGUUAUGCUUUAAUCAUUGUUGAUACUAUAUCCGUUUAGUGUUAUAAUCAAGAACAAGACAUAAUGUUGUAUAUAUUACACGUAUAAAAAUCGUACCUGGACGCCUUCCCAUAGCUUCUCAAGCAUGUUGUUGCCUCUCAGUUUGAGAUUAACGAGAUGUUCUGGUAGAAAUUUACUUGGAUUACAUCUCCUAAGGCAAUCGAGAUAAUCUAGUCCAGGGAGACUCUUGUUCCAUAAACAAUCUGCUACGUCGAUGUCAAUUCCAUAUGGGGAAAUUUGCAUUAUAGUCUCAGGGAAAUUUCUCAACUUGGGGCAUCGUAGGAGAUCGAGGUACUCGAGAGAUUCCGAGUUGAGAGGACUUGGAAAACUUUCUAGCACUUCGCAAUCAGAAAUAUCUAAUCUCUCGAGGUUCAUGGCAUAAGAAAGAUCUGGAAUUUCUUUCAAAUAUUUGGAAUUACGCAGAAUCAUCUUCUUUAGGCUUCCAAGUAGCUGAAAACAAGGAAAGAGAGAAUAACACACAUUUAUAAACAUUUCAAACAGAUUUAUUUAGAUUGUUUAACAAAUAAAUUAAUAAAAAUAACACACUUCUGUUUUCAAAUAGACAACUAAAACAAUAAAGAAUUAGUACCUGAGUUCCAUUCCACAGCUUCUCAAGGUCACUAUUCACCAUUCUGAGUUCAACCAGAUACUCAGCCUUAAAAUUAGAAGGCAAACGCUUCAAUGGACAAUUAUCCCACCAUAGCCAUUUGAGUUUACGUGGCAAGUAAACGAGGCCGUUAGGUAGACGCAUUCUGGUUUCUCUCGGUUGCCACCAUGAAUGAUCAUGAAUUUUUAGAUAUUGGAGAUUAAGCAUGCCUUGGAACGAGUUUUCAUCUAUUGAAAUAAAUGGCUUAUCUAUUUGUGAAUCUGAUGACGCGCUGAAAUGUAUUCCGAGCAAUUUUUCAGUCCCCUGACAAAAACAAAUCCCCAAAGAAAACUAUUAUCCUCAAGUACCAAACUAAAUCAGUUUUUUUCUGUCCUUUUUAACAUCAAAAGCCAAUCGGUGAAUUAAUAUAAAGUGGUGCAUUAAGCUGCAAAAACUUACGGUAUUAUCGGUAAAUACGUCUAGAAUUUCCUCAGCAUUCUCCAGAAAUCGACGUUUUCCAGGAUUACCAUUAGACUCUUCACGAUCAAUUUCUGUAGCCAACUUCUGAAGCAAAUUGUGCAUCUCUAUAGUAUCAUUCGGUGUUAAACGUAUGAGGGACUUAUCAUCCAACGUUUUGAGCCUAAUGUUAACAUUAACACCAUCUCCGAGGAAGUCUUUGAUGGAUUUGACUUUCCAACCAUUGAAUAACCAUGCAAUGUAAUGGAAUAUAUCUUGAUCUUUUGGAUCUAAUCUAACGUAGCUGACUCUUAAUGUUUUCAUAAUAUCUCUGUUCAAACCAUUUUGGAGCUCAGCCAGCAUCUCCAUCCACUCUUCUUUGCUCCUUCGUUUUAAAGACGAACCAAGGACACUGAGACCCAAAGGAAGAUUACCGGCAAGCUUUGCAACUUCAAAUGCUAGUUCCUUAAAAUCAUCAGGUGGAGAGUAUUUCCCAAAAGCAUAUUGGCAUAUCAUCUUAAGAGCAAGACCUUGAGAUGGGAGCUUCACCUCAUAUAUAAGGUCAAUCUCAUGAGCCUUGAGAAGUUGCCUAUCUUGAGUGAUCACAAUUAUUCUGCUUCCAGAUCCAAACCAUUCAGCUUUUCCCACCAAGGUCCUAAGAAACUCUAGAUUAUCCACAUCAUCAAGAAGGAUAAGAACUUUCUUGUGCUUCAACCUUUGCUCCACCACACCAAAAUGCUCUAUCUUUAUGUCCUUUUGACCUAAGAUUUCCGAGAGAAGUUCUUUUUCCCAACUCAACUUCAUGCCAGAGACGUCACUACCACUGGUGCUUUUAUAAGUUAUGAAAGCGCGAUGGUGGAACUGGC
rnacentral:lncRNA from 1 species